UUUAGAUGUGUUGGAACUUUUAUAGAAUGACGACAUACAAAUGUCGGAUUCACCGUAAUCAAAAUUUAUAGGAAUUGCAAAUCAAAUAGAAACCAUUCUAACUUCUAACUUAACAACUCUGUACAAUACAACCAUUCUAAAAAAAAUGAGCUAAAAGAUUGACAUAAUAUAUGAUACAAAAAUUGUCAUUCACCUUCUAAACUUCAUCAAUCCAAAAUUAAAAUAGAACUAUGAUUUGAACAAACAAAGAGAACUAAUUGGCAUCUCUCCAAAGCAUUUUCAACAUUUUCAUUUACCAGCCCAAUGUCAAAUGUAAUGCAGCAGGCACAGUACUCUCAAUAUCCAUUCUACUUGCAACACUAAAUAAUACUCUAUAACCUUCGUAUAUAGUGAUAAAAUACUGGUCAUUGAAUAAACAAAAUUCAGCAGGCAUGCUCAAUUGAAAAUGAACAACAAGUAAUCCACUCAGUUGAAGAUGAACAUCAACACAAACCCAGAAUUUAAGACAAGAAUUGUUCUUUAUACAACAACAAUAAACCCAGAAUUUUAAUACAGGAACAUUCGAAGAGUGUAAAAUCUAUGAAUUUAUAACAGUAUCCAUGGCCACAAAAUGAAAUAGCAAUGAUGGCCCAAGUCUAAUUUUGCAUAAAAUUAAACAUUCCAACAAUUACCGUAAACAUUGUAGAAUUGAUUCCGCGGAAAUGGACCAUCAACAGGAGGUCGUUGCUUGCUGGAUUUUGAACAUCGAAACAAUCGAGGAUUUCCCAAGUCUAUCCAUUACUUUGGUGUUGACUCGCAUACUUCCGCUUCGCUUUCCGCCUUUUAAUCCUUUUGGUACUGAAACUGGCGGAGCAAUUGUUCUGCAAAAAUAGAAAUUAAACUUGCAAACAGAUUAAAUAUUAAACCACAGCCAACACCGAUAAUUUGUGAAAGGUUAGUUGCGAGUCCAUUGAUUAGAACGGAGACAGUGGCGGUGGUUGACGAAGAAGCCGUGAGAUGGACGUCACAGGUGAAGGUUGAAGGUGAGUUCUGGGCUUGGUAGCGGAAGUGGAAUCGGUGUAAGCGUCGCGGUUUUGAAGGUGUUAGGUGUUGCGAUUUGGGUUUAAAGGUGUUGGAAAAGGAUCGCGGAGGAGAGCGGUGGAGGGUUUCGUGUGAGGUUCCGUCAAAGGUAGAGAACGAUGGUGGAGAUGGGAAGAGGAAAAUGAAGGUUAAGCGGCGGUGGCGGCUUCACGGAAGAUGAAGGGCGAUUGAAGCGAUUUGGUGGCCGGUGAUGGAAGGAUUUAUGGAUUGUGACGGCAAUGGUGAUUUGGGUCGGUAGCGUGAGCUUGAGCGGAAGGUUUCGCCGGUGACGAAAAGGCGGAUGAAGGAAUUUCGGCUUGGGUUUUGUGGAUUUGAGAAUGAGAUGUGAAGGUGAGGGAGAGUGACUUGUGUGGAAGGGUUUUGUUUGAUGGUUUUUUGUGAGAGAGAUGAGUGAAUCCGAGAGUGAGGUUUUCUGUGUGAGAGUUGAGAGAGUGAAUGGAGUGUGAGCGUGAGAUGUGAGCGAGAGAAUAUCUUUUAUUACCUUUAUUUUUUGUCGUUUAUGUCGGUACGAGAGAGAGGAAUGGGGUCAGGUUGUUAGUAGUGGAGAGUGUUUUUGUAGUGCAGAGAGACGUUGGGAUAGUGAGAUUCUUAUCAUUUAUUUUUUGUUUUUUAAAAGAGAUAAGAGAAUCCAAUGCUAAUAAUAUAUACAUUAUUAAAUAACAAAUUAUUAAAGCAAAGCUAAUUAAUAUUUAAAAAAACCUAAAUAAUAUUUUAAAUAAACUAACUAUUAUUUAACUAAUGUUUUAAAACAAACUAAUAUUUACUUAAAUAAACUAAUAUCUACUUAAAAUAGCUAAUACUUAAAACAACUAAUUUAAUAUUUUUAAAAAAACUAUUCUAAUUUUUUUAAUAAAAUACCAACAAAAUAUUUGACCAGUUAUAAAAAUAAAGAAAAAACCGAGUACAAAUUUUAAUCGAAAAAAUUAAACCAGUCACACUAAAAUUGUCAGCAAAGAAACCAACUUAUUAAAAAUACAGUCUUUCCUUCGAUUCAACCGAUUUUUCUGUAUUCUCAAAUAAAUUCAUCCUGACCGACAUUUCAGGUAUUAUUCAUGAUGCAAAUGUAUGUCAUGUUAUGCAUAUGAUGUUAUAAUAAAAAUGAAAUCGAUUCUAUGAUAAUUUAAAUAUGCCCGGACAAAAUUGGGGUACGACANAGUCCAUUGAUUAGAACGGAGACAGUGGCGGUGGUUGACGAAGAAGCCGUGAGAUGGCCGUCACAGGUGAAGGUUGAAGGUGAGUUCUGGGCUUGGUAGCGGAAGUGGAAUCGGUGUAAGCGUCGCGGUUUUGAAGGUGUUAGGUGUUGCGAUUUGGGUUUAAAGGUGUUGGAAAAGGAUCGCGGAGGAGAGCGGUGGAGGGUUUCGUGUGAGGUUCCGUCAAAGGUAGAGAACGAUGGUGGAGAUGGGAAGAGGAAAAUGAAGGUUAAGCGGCGGUGGCGGCUUCACGGAAGAUGAAGGGCGAUUGAAGCGAUUUGGUGGCCGGUGAUGGAAGGAUUUAUGGAUUGUGACGGCAAUGGUGAUUUGGGUCGGUAGCGUGAGCUUGAGCGGAAGGUUUCGCCGGUGACGAAAAGGCGGAUGAAGGAAUUUCGGCUUGGGUUUUGUGGAUUUGAGAAUGAGAUGUGAAGGUGAGGGAGAGUGACUUGUGUGGAAGGGUUUUGUUUGAUGGUUUUUUGUGAGAGAGAUGAGUGAAUCCGAGAGUGAGGUUUUCUGUGUGAGAGUUGAGAGAGUGAAUGGAGUGUGAGCGUGAGAUGUGAGCGAGAGAAUAUCUUUUAUUACCUUUAUUUUUUGUCGUUUAUGUCGGUACGAGAGAGAGGAAUGGGGUCAGGUUGUUAGUAGUGGAGAGUGUUUUUGUAGUGCAGAGAGACGUUGGGAUAGUGAGAUUCUUAUCAUUUAUUUUUUGUUUUUUAAAAGAGAUAAGAGAAUCCAAUGCUAAUAAUAUAUACAUUAUUAAAUAACAAAUUAUUAAAGCAAAGCUAAUUAAUAUUUAAAAAAACCUAAAUAAUAUUUUAAAUAAACUAACUAUUAUUUAACUAAUGUUUUAAAACAAACUAAUAUUUACUUAAAUAAACUAAUAUCUACUUAAAAUAGCUAAUACUUAAAACAACUAAUUUAAUAUUUUUAAAAAAACUAUUCUAAUUUUUUUAAUAAAAUACCAACAAAAUAUUUGACCAGUUAUAAAAAUAAAGAAAAAACCGAGUACAAAUUUUAAUCGAAAAAAUUAAACCAGUCACACUAAAAUUGUCAGCAAAGAAACCAACUUAUUAAAAAUACAGUCUUUCCUUCGAUUCAACCGAUUUUUCUGUAUUCUCAAAUAAAUUCAUCCUGACCGACAUUUCAGGUAUUAUUCAUGAUGCAAAUGUAUGUCAUGUUAUGCAUAUGAUGUUAUAAUAAAAAUGAAAUCGAUUCUAUGAUAAUUUAAAUAUGCCCGGACAAAAUUGGGGUACGACANNNNNNNNNNNNNNNNNNNNNNNNNUCUAUUUGCAUAAAAAUUAAACAUUACAACAAUUACCAGUAAACAAUUGUAGAAUUGAUUCCGCGGAAUGCGACCAUCAACAGGAGGUCGUGCUUGCUGGAUUUUUUAGAACAUACGAAACAAUCGAGGAUUUCCCAAGUCUAUCAUUACUUUGGUGUUGACUCGCCAUACUUCCCGCUUCGCUUCGCCCCUUUUAAUCCUUUGGUACUGAAACUGGCCGGAGCAAUUGUUUCUGCCCCCAAAAAUAGAAAUUAAACUUGCAAACAGAUUAAUAUUUAAACCAAGCAACACGUAAUUUGUGAAAGCGUUGUGCCGAACGAGUCCAUUGAUUAGAACGGGACAGUUGGCGGUGCGGUGACGAAGAAGCCGUUUGGAGAUGGCCGUCAGCAGGUGAAGAGUUGAAGGUGAGUUCUGGGCUUGGUUUAGCGGAAGUGCGAAUCGGUGCUGUAAGCCGUCGCGGUUUUGAAGGUGUUAGGGCUGUUGCGAUUUGCGGUUUAAAGGCGUGUUGGAAAAGGAUCGCGGAGGAGAGCGGUGCGAGGGUUUCGUUGCUGAGGUUCUUCAAAGGUAUGAGAAAACGAUGCGUGUGCAGAUGGGGAGAGGAAACAUGAAGGUUAAGCCGGCGGGUGGCGGCUUCACGGAAGAUUUGAAGGGCGAUUGAAGCGAUUUUGGCUGGCCGGUGAUGGGAAGCCCGAUUUAUGGAUUGUGACGGCAAUGCGUGAUUUGGCCGGUGUCGGCGUAGCGUGAGCUUGCAGUGGAAGUUUUCACCGAACCCGUGACGAAAAGGCGCGAUGAAGGAAUUUCCGGCUUGGGUUUUGUGGAUUAGAGACAGAAUUGGAGAUUGUGAAGGUGAGGAGGACUGACUUGUGCUGGAAGGUCUUUGUUGAUGGUUUUUUGUGAGAGAGAUGAGUGAAUCCGAGACAUGAGGUUUGGUUCUGUGCUGAGAGUUGAGAGAGCUUGAGUGCAGUGUGAGCGUGAGAUGCUGACGAGAGAAUAUUUCUUAUUAGCCUUUAUUUUUGUGCGUUCAUUGUCGGUACGAGAAGAGCAGGAAUCUGGGUCAGUUGGUUAGUUGAGUAGUGUUUAGUGGUAUGUGUUCAGAGACGUUUGGGAUAGGUUUGAGAUUGUUAUCUGUAAUUUUAUUGUUUUGUGUGUUUAAAAGAGAUAAGAGAAUUCCAAUGCUAAUAAUAUAUUAUCAGUUUAUUAAAUAAUAUAUACAAAUUAUUAAAGCAAAGCUAAUAAUAUUUAAAAAUCCUAAAUAAUAUUUAAAUAGACUAACUAUUAUUAACUAAUGUUUUAAACCAAACUAAUAUAUUAUGAAAAUAAACUAAUAUCUGACUUAAAAAUAGCUAAUACUUAAACUCAACUUAAUUUAAAUUUUUAAAAAAAACAUCUAUUUUUCAAUUAAAGAAACACAAUCAAAAUAUUGACCAUGUUCAUAAAAAUAAAGAAAAAACCGAGUACAAAUUUUUAAGUCGAAAAAAAAUUAAGACCAGCUCACACUAAAAUUGUCAGCAAGAAACACCAAUUUUAAAAAAUCACAAGUCGUUUCCUUCGAUUCAACCGAAUUUUUCUGAUAUUCUCAAAUAAAUUCAUCGCCUGACCGACAUUUCAGGUAUUAUUCAUGAUGCAAAUGUAUGUCAUGUUAUGCAUAUGAUGUUAUAAUAAAAAUGAAAUCGAUUCUAUGAUAAUUUAAAUAUGCCCGGACAAAAUUGGGGUACGACACUGCCCACGCUUUAUUUUUACACGUUUUACUUGUCCCUUACGCCUCACAUUCUAAAACAACUUUUCAUCAUGAUCAAUAUCGUUGUGUUUGUUUGAAUUACCAUGUCUGGCUAAAUCUUUUAAAGGUUAGAAUGUAAGGAUCGUGGUUAAAGAGAUGUUUCACAUAUUGAAUCUGUAGAAAUACCUUAAAGGCUGUUUUGAUUUUUAACUUGAGUUUUCUGAAACAAACUUGGUUAGUUUUAACUAUUCAAGGAGUGCGAAAGCACCCUGGCUUAGUUAACUAGGAAUUUUUAUCACUUUAAGGAAAAAACUAUUUUUGAAACUGUUUUCGGACGCGUUGAUAGAUUUAAAAUCAGGAAACUCCUUGGGUAAAACUUUCCAAAUCAAAAUCACUUUUCAACUAAGUUUAUGAGUCUUAUUUCUUAAAAUAAGUUUACUACUUUAGCAUUUUGCGCACCUUUUAUAAGUGACAAUAAAAGGCCUUAUAAAAGGAUUUCUGUUAAAUGGAUUCUUUUCAAGAGUAGAAAAUAUUGCCUCAUAAGUAGUUCUAUUUAGAAAAUCGAAACAUCACUUAACUGACGUGAGAUACAUUCAACCUAUCUUUACCUACAUUUAUUAUUUACCGUUAUUUUGCAACCCCAAUAUCUCUUUUAUACCGUCUUAGAUAAACAUCAUAAAGAUAGUAAUCGAUAGAUUAACGAUUCGGUCUCUGUGGGUUUGAUAUUCUUUUGUAUUACUUUGACGCGAUUCGUGCACUUGUGAAUUCACACGAUCAGCAAGCAACAAUAUAGACUCAUUGCACGAAACCAAGAGAUUUCUCAAAAAUAAAUUUGAGAUGAAAGAUCUUGGGAACGCCUCCUUUGUCUUAGGAAUUCAAAUACUUAGAGACCAUUCUCGAGGUAUUUUAGGAUUGUCACAAAGGAGCUACAUUGAUACAGUUCUUCAUAUAUUCUCCAUGAAAGAUAGUAAACCAGAAGACACACCUAUUGCUAAAGGAGACAAGUUUUGUCUCAAAUAGUGCCCCACCACGAAUCUUGAAAAGGAAGAGAUGCAUAAGGUUCCAUAUGCUUCAAUUGUGGGAAGUCAUAUGUAUGCUCAAGUUUGCACCCGUCCCUACUUAGCAUUCAUUAUAGGAGUUCUUGGCAUAUAUCUAAGCAACCCUGGUAUGCAACACUUGAUAGAAGUAAAACAUGUAAUGCGCUACCUGAAGAGAAUAAGAGACUUUAUGCUCACUUAUGGGAAGUUAGAGAACUUGCAGAUCAUUGGGUAUUCUGACUUAGAUUUUGCAGGAUGCUCGGAUAGUAGACGUUCCACAUCUGGUUACAUUUCUCUUGGCUGGAGGAGUUGUCUCCUGGAAGUCUUCCAAACAAAAUUUAGUGGCUCCCUCCACCAUGGUAGCAGAGUUGAUGGUUUGCUUUGAGGCAUCAAAUCAUGCAAUCUGGAUGCAGAACUUUGUCACCAGCCUACACAUUGUUAGGAGCAUUGAAAGGCCCUUGAAGAUUUAUUGUGACAAUAGUGCAGUUGCUCUCUACUCCAACAACAAUAUGAGUUCUACAAAAUAAAAAUUUAUUGAUAUCAAGUAUCUUGUUGUGAAAGAAAGAGUUCAGGAGAAGAAAAUUUUGAUAGAACAUAUAGGGACAAACUUAAUGCUAGCUGGCUCGCUAACCAAAUGUUUGACACCUAAAGCUUUUCAUGGGCAUGUUGGUCACAUGGGUCUUGGUUUUGAGAUUGCCUUUGAUUAGUGAGAGUUUUUUUCCUCAUUUUUCUAUGUUUUAUGUUUUGGUACAAACUUUAUGUUAUGUUUAAUUUUCUGCAUAAAUAAAAACUUAUGAGGUACUAUUGUUAUUACAAUAUCAAGUUUUUUGUUAUAUGCAAAUAUUGAAAAAAAUUAGAAUUGCACCUAAGGAACGUCAGUUUGAUCUCACUAAAGACUUCAGUAAGACCAGUUGGAAAUAUGCAUGAUUUAGAUAUCACAUUGCAUGAAAUUUCCAUGCCACUAAUCCAUAUCGAUCUAUGUCAUCAAAUACGUUGAUGUGGUGGCCGCCAGGGUUCUGUCACAUUAUACGUUAGUGACUACAACCAUGAUGAUCCCAUUAUUGAUGUAUGAGGUAGACCAAAUUGUAAAGUUGAAAUCUAAGGAUAAAUACCAUUCAGACGUGCGCCUAAAGAACUAUGAUCUAAUUAUUAACAUAUAUCGCCCAAGUGGGAGAUUGUUGGAAUAUUAUUUUAUAUGUUAUUUUAAUAUCCCGAUGAUUAUAUAUAUAUAUAUAUAUAUAUAUAUAUAUAUAUAUAUAUAUAUAUAUUAGUUAUAUUAGCUAUUUCAUCAAUUAAUUGCCUUAGAUAAUUAAGUGAUCAAAUAUGAGUGGAUGUCAGGAUGACUAAUUUGGGAAUAAUGGGAGCCCUAAUUGGCCAUCACACUAUAUAUAGGAUAUGAUCCUCAAUAUACCACACAAGAAAAAGGAGUAUCAGUUGAGGAAGAACCACAAAAGUCAAUUAGGGAAUUCGAUGCAUAAGGAGUACCGGUUGAGGAAGAACCACAAAAGCCAUCAACUUCUGAGUUUUAGGAUUAUCGUAAAAGAGAAUUUUCUCAAUAGAUCCAGGUAUUCUAUAAUCAAUUUAUCGAUCCUAAAAUUUUAUACAUACUUGUAUCACUAUUUUGAUUCCGCAUAAAAGAUAUGUCAUAGUAUGUUAAGCAUGUAUAUUGAAUUGAUUUAAUUCUAACAUCUCCAUCAUUCACUACUAUAAAAUAGACCUUUCGUAACACCAAUUUUACAACAAACAUAUUGUUAACUGUGGAAAUAGUUUAUUUAUGGGACUUUUUUUUAGUUGCUAAAGGACAUCUCACAACGAUAAAAUGAAGCAAUUGUAGUGAAAGAUACACAUAGUGACAUGGUAUGAAUCCCAACAUCAACAAUUAGAUAUUUAUCGUGAUAAAAAUGUGAUUGACAAUGUAUAUCACCACAUUUUUUAUUACCAAGCGUGAUAAAAGGUGAUACUUAUUUAUAUAUAAGCAAAAUUAUCUCUCGCUUCAGUAUAUAAUAGUCGUCUCUCUUAAAACAAAACCCUAGCAUUCCAAUUAAACCUAGAUUGAUUUAUGCAAGUUACAUGAACCAUAUGGAGCCUCUAUAAAUAGAGAGACAAGCCGCAUAACUCAAUACACAAGAAUUGGCACAAAAACUCCAUUGUAGCAAAUUCUCCAAACCUCAAACUUCCAAAUUCCAUUGUGCUUGUGUUUUCUCCAAACCAACACUUAAAACAACUUCUAAACAUCCAUUAGAAGUUGUCCAAACACUUGAACAACUUCUGUAACAUCCCUACCAUCAUCUUCCAAAUCACAUUUUCAUAGCUUGCAACUUGAUUUGGAAAGUAAGAACCCAUCACUCUCAGCUCAAUCCAGACAUUCAAACACCUUCCUUGAGGUGUAAGGAAGAUGUUCAGAUCAUAAAAUCACAUAUGGAACACCCCUAUUUCAAAACACGAUUUUCAUUUUUAAGGUAUGUAUUAAUUUCUGUAAUUUAUGAUUUAAGACACCAUUUUGCAUCAUUCUUGUUACCAUUUCACUUGCCAAGAUGUGAGGAACAAAACCCCUAUGAUCAUUGGUCUUAAUCGGUGAUGUUUGGAAAUUAAUUUUAAAUUUGAUUUUUAGGGUUCACAUGCAUUUUGUUUGAUUUUUGGAUAUUUAUGAAAAAUAAAUGAAAUUGGUGAGUACCAUUAGAUUCCUUGCGAAAAUCUAAACAAUUAUGUUAUUUACAACUUUUAAUUUCGUUAAGAAUAGAGAGAGUUAGAGUUUUGACAUUAAUUGAAAAUGGUGGAAAUGAUGGACUACGGGAUGAAUGAGGAAGAUGAAUUUGUAAGAACAAAUAUAGUUCUACAAUAUAUCUCUAAUAUUUUGAUGAUAAAAAAGGAUGAAAUGAAAAUGGUACCCUAACGAAAUUUUUCUAAGUGUGCAAGACUUUGAUCAAAACAAUCGGAUAGGCAACCAUCCUAUACAUAAUCAAGCGCUAAGAUACUACUCAGAAGAUAACGUGACCAGAAGGCUCUGACUCUGAUCCAAGGCAGGUGCUAGCAAAACUAAAGAAGUCAGAAACUAUGAAAGAGAAGAAUGAAUCCAGACUCUGAAGACGUACACUCUGAAGAAGUUAAAUAAAGGUAAACUCUGAUGAAGUCAGAUACAAGCAUCAUCUGAAGACGAAUAUCGCCAAAUAAAGACUCUGACUACAGGAUUCACAAGAAAACUUAACCUCGAAGAAAAUUUCUUAUAAAAAGAAACUAUUUUUAGAAGGAAGUUAUGACGCUCCCAUUUCUGCUUUGGAAUGAACAAGGAGAGUAAUGACAUUAAUCAUUCUUCAAUGACCAAGAUUCUGCCAUUAACAUCACCCAACGGUCCUCUCAUUUUCCUAUAAAAAGGAUGGAACGCUUCACAAAAAACACACCUGAGAUACACGAGAAUAAAAUUCUUCCAUUACUUUCUUUCACUCUCUCACGAGCCGCUGCUCUUACGUAAGAACUUUUCUUGCUCUUAUACUCUAUAAUAUUUGCUUAUUGUUAGAAGCACUAUUCAUUACUAAUCAUAUCAUUUCCAAGAUAUUUCCUCAAGUGACUCUGUGAAGUCUGAAUACUUGAGAGGGCUAAGGGAUUAUUUCUCUUAGACGGUUGUUUGUGUAAUAUUUCAAGAUUAGUGGAUUAAGUCCAUUUUGAAGGUGAAAUCACCUUGGUCGGGUGGACUGGAGUAGCUUUGAAUUUCAAGCGAACCAGUAUAAAAUUAUAUGGUGAAUCCUUUUUAUUCUACAUGUGUCUAAGUUCUUAAUUUUUUUAAAUUUUCCAAAACAAUUCAAACCCCCCUUUCUUGUUUUUCUCUACCUUAAAUUGGUAUCAGAGCUUCGGCUCUGUUAUUGAUUUUCUAAUCAAACACUUAACCGUGUAGAGAGAUCCAACGUGAGAAAAACACUAUGGCCAACACCAAUGAAGGAGAUAGUUACAAUGCUAAACCUCCAAUCUUUGAUGGAGAAAAAUUUGAUUACUGGAAAGAUAGAAUUGAAAGUUUCUUUCUGGGCUAUGAUGUUGAUCUAUGGGACAUAGUCACAAUCAGCUACACACCUCCUGUGUCUGACGCUGGCGUUGCCAUUACCAGAAGCAAAAUGACAGAUGAUCAGAAGCGCGACUUCAAAAACCAUCACAAAGCUAGAACGAUACUGCUAAAUGCCAUUUCCUACAAUGAAUAUGAAAAGAUCACCAAUAGGGAAACAUCUAAAGAAAUACUUGACUCCCUGAGGAUGACUCACGAAGGAAAUUCUCAAGUCAAAGAGGCAAAGGCUCUGGCUCUAAUUCAGAAGUACGAAGCCUUCAAGAUGGAGGACGAUGAGGCUAUAGAGGUAUUGUUUUCUAGAUUUCAAACUUUAAUUGCAGGACUCAAAGUUCUGGACAAGGGCUACACAACUGCAGAUCAUGUCAAAAUGAUAGUCAGAAGCUUGCCAAAGAAGUGGAGACCAAUGGUCACAACAUUAAAGUUAUCAAAAGAUCUGAACAAUAUCAGCCUUGAGGAACUCAUCAGUUCACUCUGAAGUCAUGAAAUAGAACUUGAGGAAGAUGAGCCUCAAAAGAAGAUCAAGUCUGUAGCACUAAAGUCCAGAUCUGAAAGACGCAAACCAGAAAGGAACAAAGCCUUCCAAGCUGAAGAGGAAGACAAUGACGACUCUGAAAAGGAAGACUCUGACGAUGAAGAAGAUUUAUCCCUUUUGACCAGAAGAGUAAAACAACUCUGGAGAAAAAGGAAUAAUAACUUCAGAAGACCAAGACCCAAGGGAGAUCGCUCAGAAUCAACUUCCAGAGGUAAGUCAACAAAGAAAUAACAUGCUAUGAAUGUAAGGAAAUAGGUCAUUACAGAAACGAAUGUCCAAAGAUGAAGAAAGAGAGAUCCAGAAGAGAAAGUUUCAAGAAAAGCUCAUUCAAAACCAAAAAGGGACUGAUGGCCACCUGGGACGACAGUGGAUCUGAUUCCUCUGAAUCAGACUCUGAAGAAUAGGCAAAUGUUGCAUAUAUGGCUAUCACCUCUGGAAAUACAUCAGAUAGAGAAUCUGAUCCUGAAGAGGUAUUUUCCGAUCUUUCUCGCUCUGACCUUGAAUCAUGCCUUUCUAAAACUCUAAGCUCAUAUCAGAAACUUAAACAAUAACUUAUAUCUAUAAAAAAGGUUCUUGAAGGAACCAUCGAAGAAUGUGAUAAGCUUGAGAUGACAGUUUCAAAACUAAAAGAUGAAAAUCAAACUUUGACAAAAUAAAGAGACUCCACAAAUAAACAAUGUUUAAAACUUGAAGAAGCGUUAUCUCAAGCCCCACAAACUUCUAACACAAUAAUAUAUGAAUAUGAAAAAUCCUUUCAAAAGUUUCUGAAAAAUGGGAUAGCAAGAAGCAAAAUAACAUCCAUGAUUUAUGGAGUUAGUCAGAAUAAUAAAAGAGGAAUAAGGUAUAUCGCCAGUGAAGAUAAAUCUUUUGUAGAUGACAAACCAAAAUCUCCUUUUUCUUAUCACUACACACAUACAUAAGCACAACGUUUUGAUAAUGCUAGAAAACCCAAAGUUCUAAGAAACUUUGGGAAAACUAAUUACAAAGGACCCAAAAGAUUAUGGGUACCAAAGGAUAAGAUUGUUUAUGUUGCAGAUAUCUUAUGCCGCAGAGUUAAGACACCAAUCGUGGUACCUGAACCCUGGAUACUCGCGACACAUGACGGGAAGAACGUAUAUGUUCCAAAACCUGGAACUUAAAGACGCUAGCUUUGUAGGUUUCAGAGGAAAUCAGAAAGGAAGAAUCAAAGGCUCCAGAACUAUUGGUAAUGGAACUCUUCCCUCUAUAUCUUAUGUUCUCUAUGUAGAAGGAUUAAUGCAUAACCUGUUAUCAGUAAGUCAAUUAAGUGAUAAUGGUUAUGAUGUAAUCUUCAAUCAAAAAACAUGUAAAAUAAUUAAUCAGAACAAUGGAACAGUUCUGUUCACUGGCAAGAGGAAAAACAAUAUUUACAAAAUAAAUCUUUCAGAUCUAAAAGAUCAAAAUAUAAAAUGUCUGAUGUCUGUUCAUGAAGAGCAAUGGGUAUGGCAUAGACGUUUAGGCCACAUUAGCAUGAGAAAACUCUCUCAGCUAAAUAAACUCGAGUUAGUCAGAGGUCUACCUAAACUGAAGUAUUCUUCAGAAGCUCUGUGUGAGGCAUGUCAGAAAGGAAAACUUUUGAAAACAUCUUUUAAAAAGAAAAAUAUUGUUUCCACCUCUAAGCCUCUAGAACUUCUUCACAUUGACCUUUUUGGGCCUGUUAAGACAACGUCAGUCAAUGGAAAGAAGUAUGGACUGGUUAUUGUUGAUGAUUUUAGUCACUGGACAUGGGUAAAAUUCCUAAAGCACAAGAGUGAGUCUCACUCUGUAUUCACUAGCUUCUGUUCUAAAUUGCAAAACGAAUUUGACUCUAAAAUCAUCAGAGUCAGAAGUGAUCAUGGUGGCGAAUUCGAGAAUAAAUUUUUUGAGGAACUAUUUGAUUCUAAUGGAGUAUCCCAUGAUUUCUCCUGCCAUUGAACUCCACAAAAAAAUGGAGUUAUAUAGAGGAAGAAUAAGACACUCCAAGAGAUGGCCAAUACCAUGAUCAAUGAAACAAAUGUGGCUAAGCACUUUUGGGUUGAAGCAGUAAAUAUAGCGUAUUGUAUUCAGAAUAGAAUCUCUAUAAGACCUAUUUUGGAAAAGACUCCAUAUGAACUGUGCAACGGAAGAAAACCCAAUAUUUCAUAUUUCCAUCCUUUUGGAUGCCCUUGUUUUAUUCUCAAUACUAAAGAACAUCUGAACAAAUUUGAUUCAAAAGCACAAAAAGGCAUUAUGUUAGGAUACUCAGAACGCUCUAAAGGCUACAGAGUAUACAACACAGAAACCAAAAUUGUGGAAGAAUCAAUACAUGUUAGAUUUGAUGAUAAACUUGACCCUGAAAAGUCAAAGCUAGUUGAGAAACUUGCAGAUUUGGAGAUCACUCUUGCAGGCUCUGACGAAAAGACUAAAGCACCAGAAGUAUCUGACAAACAAAGUCUAGAUGCAGCUGAAGCCUCAACUAUCCAGAAAAGAUCAAGAAGUUGCCCUGACGUCUCUGAAGAUUUGAUUCUUGGAAACAAAGAUGAACCUGUCAGAACUAGGUCAACAUUCAAAGUAUCUGAAGAAACUCCUCUGGGAUUAGUAUCUCUAAUCGAGGCUACUUCCUGUGAUGAGGCACUUCAAGACAAUGACUGGGUUCUGGAUAUGAAAGAAGAUCUAGAUCAAUUCUUAAAGAAUGACGUAUGAGAUGUCGUCCCAAAGCCUAAAGGAACUCACAUUAUUGGAACCAGAUGGGUGUUCAGAAACAAACUGAACGAAAAGGGAGAAGUAGUCAGAAAUAAAGCACGACUGGUAGCACAGGGUUACAGUCAACAAGAAGGCAUUGACUACAAUGAAACCUUUGCCCCAAUCACCAGGUUAGAAUCUAUUCGCUUACUUGUUUCAUUUGCUGUAAAUCAUUUCAUUAAACUAUAUCAGAUGGAUGUCAAGAGCGCAUUCCUUAAUGGUUAUAUAUCAGAAUAAGUAUAUGUCAUUCAACCUCCAGGAUUUGAAAACACUAAAUGUCCAAAACAUGUUUUUAAACUAAAGAAAUCAUUGUAUGGACUAAAACAAGCUCCUAGAGCUUGGUAUGAAAGAUUAAGCAAUUUUCUUUUGGAAUAUGAUUUUAUUAUAGGAAAGGUUGACUCUACCUUCUUCUGUAAAAACAUUAGAAAUGAUCUCAUGAUAUGCCAGAUAUAUAUUGAUGACAUUAUUUUUGGUUUAGCUAACCCCUAUGUAUGUCAAGAAUUCUAUGAGCUAAUGCAGGCAAAAUUUGAAAUGAGCUUAAUGCAAGAACUAAAGUUCUUUCUGGGAAUUCAAAUCUGUCGCAGCCUAAAAAAUAUAGUAUGCGAAAAAACAACCGGCGAGAAAAGAAAUGACAGAAGAGUCGCCACCGUGCGUUAUUUAUCCCAAAGGAGGGAAAGGAAACGCUCGAAGUAAACCUAGAGAAAGGAAAGGAAAAGACAAGGUCUCGCAACCAAAUCUUGGGUUCGGGAGUCGAUUAUGCGAAGGGAAGGUAUUAGCACCCCUACGCAUCCGUAGUACUCUACGGGAUCCACUCUUGUUGUUCUUGUCUAAAGGGUGUGUGUAGUAUCUAAUGUACUAUUUACUAAAAGAGGGUCAAAAGGAAAUGACUCACACGGAUGUCGCAUCCACUGCAUACAUAUCUCAUCUGAACAUGAGAAUUAGAGUCUUUGUAGCUCGGCUACCUAUGGGUUAAGGAGAAGUGUGCUUGCUAAGACAUCGCGUCUUAUGCCUACGUGUCUCAUCUGGAAUGAAAAUCAAAGCAAAACAUAGUUCAGCUACAUAGGGAUUGCCAUCUGAACAUGGACUUACAAAGGAGCACACCAGUUGUGUCAAAGGAGAGUGGGCAAUGUGUUCACGUCCUAGCAGCAGGUGUCGCAGCUCGCUGAAUCGAGUCUUAGGCAGUUACCUCUUUACAAUAGGACGGAGUGACAUACCACGGGAUCGGAGACGCACGGAAGGUCUAAAAGAAUGGGGAAGCUCUGCCCUAGAGUUGUCAUGCAAUAUGUACUUAAGUGUUAGGAUUUACAAAUGGGAACAUCUUCCUAAUGUUAGCAUGCAAGAGAAUGAGGGAAUUCUACCUAUGUUAUCAUACAAAGAAAUGAGGGAAUUCUACCAAUGUUAUCAUACAAAAGAAUAUGAGAAUUCUACCUAUGUUAUCAUACAAAGGGUUAUGCUAAUACUACCUAUGUUAUCAUACAAAGGGUUAUGGGAAUACUACCUAUGUUAUCAUACAAAGGGUUCUACCUGAUGGGUGCUACCUAAACGGAUCAAGAAUCGACGAAUGGAGCAAGGAGAGGAGUGGGGUAAAGGGUAGACGGCGAUGCACGAAGCAAUCGACUUACAAGGUAGAUGGCGAUGCGUGAAGCAAUCGACUUACAAGAGAAAUGGCGAUGCAUGAAGCAAUUGACUUACAAAAGAAUGGAUGAAUACGUGUUGGUUCUGUUAAGUUUUGAAAAUGGUUUCUCGACGUUGGAUCGAGGUUUUGAUCUUGUUUUGAAAUGGUUAUCGGAUGUUCAUUUUAUUUCUUGUAUUAACAGAUGAAUAAAGAAUGGAAGAAUAAACAUUAUACACUUCAUGGGAGAGGGGUACAUUUGUUAUGAAUGGGGAUUGUUCAUGGAAAUCAAGCAAUAAAAAUAUAUGCCUCAUACACCAUACAAGUAGGCAACAGUUAAUCAAACAAUCAGAUAAAUAACAGGUAUAUGAUCAAGUUAAAUAAUCAAAGAAUGAAACAAUGAAGCAUUAGACAAUGCAUGAGAAGUAUAAACAUGUUAAACAAUCAAACAAUAGAAGCAUGGAUGAAAGAAACAAGUGUAAAAAAUAUCAGAUGAAUCAGACAAGUGAAACUAUACACACAAAGAAUCAAUGAAUAAUUUAAUCGGGAAAUGAUGCAAGGAUAAAAUAAAAUCAAGAUGAAAAUCCUCUAAUAUGUGCCGUAUGAGAUGGACAAGGGAGGAUCAAAAGAUCUCUUCAAUUGCCUUAAGCAAUUCCUAAGUCAAACAUCAAUCAUAGAAAAGUCAACCGAAAAGUCAAGUCAACUUAAAAAUAUCAAAUAAAUAGUAAAUUAAUUCAAUAAAUUAUGAAAAAAUAAAUCAAAUAAGGUGGGGUCAGGACAUCAUCAUCCCCCAAAAAGAUUUUAAAAAUAAUGAAAAUUGGUUAUUGAAUUAAUUGAAUCAAAACAAAAGGUCAAACCAAAAGUCAACCAAGCAAACUAGGUCAAAAAUAAAUCCAAAAUAAAUUAAAAAUGGGAAAUAAAAUUCCAAGAAAAGGUCAGGUUAACCAUGGGACAUUGGUCAACCCUCAUCCCAAAAAUCAGAAUCUAAAAAUAAUUUUAAGUCAUGAAAAUAAAAUAAAUGAAAAAAAGUGUAUGAAAAUGAACCAUUUGAAAUAAAUAAUUGAAAUAAAAUAUUAACAUUAAAUAAAAUAUGAAAAUAAAAAUUAAAUGAAUUAAAUAAAACAUUAAGGAAAGUAAAAAAUAUUUUUGGGUAUUUUUAUGAAUAAAUAAAAUGUUUCUAUUAAUUAAAACAAAACAGAAAGAAUAAUGGAAAUAAAAAAAAUGAAAGAGAAAAUAAAUGAACAAAAUGUACUGAUGGGCCAGAUGAUGGUGGUGUGAAUAGCACCUGAGCGCAAAGCCCAGCCCAGCGAGAAUCUCAGUGUGUGACCAAAUAUAAAACUGAAUAUUUAAUUUAUUUAAUGAAUUAUACACCAUUGUGUAUCAAUCGGUCAUGUGUUUUUUUAAAGCACUACAUGACAAAACCGUGCUGGACGGUCAAGAUUAGAGGGCCUGCGCGGGAUCGAACCGCCACCACGAAGCCACGCGUCCCAUCCCUCCAUUCAACGUGAAAGAACAACACCAUGCAACAUGUAUGCGCGAAAAACAGGCCAAAAUCUUCCAUCUUCUACACAACUUAUCUCACUUUAUGGUUUAUGAAAUGGGAUGAUGUAAAAAGCAAAAUUCAAGUUUGAAACAUGUAGAACACAAUGAUGUCUUGUUUUAUUAAAAAAUAAUGGCUCUAGCAUGUAGAAAAGUGAACAACAAGGUAGGCUCAUGCAAGGAUUUUGGCAAAAAUUCAAUUUUUCAAAAUUAAAGUUUAAUGAACAUGCUUCAAUGAAGGGUCCAUAAGACAAACAUAGCAUAAUAUUAACAACAAAAAUUAGCAUGAAACAAGCAUGGCAUAGUGGGAAAAUACAUGAAGUAUGGAUGGAUAUCAUGAAAUGAACAUGGAGCGUAUGAUGAACAAGCAAAGUAUUCAUGGCCAUGGAAGAUUGGAAUAAAGAGAUUACCUAGUGGAGAAAGUCCACUGCUUCUUGUUGGGAUAAGAGGAAAGAGAAGGAAGAUACUUCAAUGGUGUUGCAAACUUGAAGAAUGGAAAAUGGAAGUGAGAAACAACCUUGCCCUUGCCUUGCUCUUGCUUAGGUCGAAAAUGUUGCAGCCUCCAUUCUGAUUAGGGUUUCCAAGUCUUAAAUAUGUAGGGUUUUAAGUGUUUGAAUGGGCUUAAGUGUUGGUUUUGAGUCAUGAACAAAAUGUGCAAAAAUGAGGUGUGAAAAGAAAUGGCUAAAUGUGGCAAAACUUAAGUGAAUGAACCAAAAGCUAAUGGCCAAAUAAGGUAAAAUAUGUGUUGGUCGUUUUGUGGUUAAACUUGGUUUUUCUUGUGCAGCAUAAAAAACAAACCAACUAGGUGACUUUAAGGCAUUGUAACUUGACGAAUACAUGUCCAAAUGGCAAGGCAAUGCAAACAGUAGAAAGAGGGAAUGAAACUUAACAUAUUUCAUGUUGAAUACAAGUUGAAAUGAUGAGUGGAAAGAGGUGAAAAAUGGCCAUAAAGUUCAGGUCUCAUGGCUGUAAAAUGGUUGGGCCAGUUUGGCCUAAAUGCUGUCAAAACAUUCAGCCUAUGAUACCAACUUUAGAUGAGUGUAUCUUCCAAACCAAUGAUCCAAAUGGGGUGGUUCCAAAAAGGUGUGAAAGAGGACAUAUCAAGGUACAACUGUCAUGAAGAAAGUGUUUUCAAAAAGAUUGCGUUGAAGUGCAAGAAUCUGGCCCAUAAGUCUUGACAAAUUUUGCAAAUUUUGGACUUAGAAAAAUUUCUAAGUGUUCUAAAAUAAUGUCUUACUUUGACCAAGCCUAACUUUCUCAAUUUUAAUCCAAAUGAAACAAACUUUAUAUCUCUAGAAAUCUUGGAACAAGAGGAACAACUUUCAUGUUGGAGAAAUUUUCAAAUCUAGCUUUCAUCUUAAUGGAAUAUAGGCUUAAAGUGAGUGCAAAAACCAUAAAAACUUGCCUUAAAUGGAAAGUCAACUAUUUCCAAAUUUGGUAAUUUUUCCAACUCCUGAUUAAAUGAUCAAUCCAUGAUCCAACCUUGAUCAAAUUUCACAUGUAGGCUUCCUUAGGUAUGAAUUUUGAGAUUCCACUUUCAAAAUGUCGGGAGUUGACUUUUCUGGCCCCACAGUUUACUUUUCCCAAUCUGUUUGGUUUCCGAUUCCAUUGAUCAAUUGAAGCACCUCUGGCUCAAAUAAAGAGCUGAUUUUUUUGCAUGUAGAUCCUUGUGGACAUGUGGAGGGCCAUGGAAAUGGGUUUCACUCAAGGAAUCAGAAAUAAGCCGAUUUUAUACCAAACCCUAGUUUUAGGGCAAAAAUGACUAGGAACGGAUUACACUGAUUGUCAAUGGAUCUUUCUGUGAUAAUUGUGAAUCUUUCUAGGCCAAGAUUCCUCUCUAAUCAUGACAUGAAUGAGCCCCUCUUCUUCCAAUCAAACAUUUUCUGUUGCAGAUGGCCAUGAAACCCUGAUUUCCGAUUAAGUGCAGAUGCACACUCCGAGAGCUCUGAAUCUUCCACUGAUGAGCUGUAGACCACCAUAAGAUACCUGGACCACCUUGAGACUUGUAUAUUUGGAGAAUGAAGUUCAAUUCUCAGUCUUGAUUUGUGUGGGCUCCUUCUGGCAAGGAGUGGUCAAUCAAACCCUAAUUUCCCAAGUCACCGAUGCAGUAUGCAAUGAGUAUGACCUAGUAUGAUGCUAAUGCAAUGUGAAACAUAAUCCCAUGCUUCCAAGAAAAAUGAAGGGUAAAUUUUGGGGUAUUACAAAAUCAAUCAAGCUUCAAAAGCUACCUACGAAUAUUAAAGUAAGUACAUAAAAGACAUUCUGAAGAAAUUCGAAAUGGAUGAAUGCAAACCUGCUAAGACACCAAUGCAUCCAACCCACAUUCUGGAGAAGGAAGAAACUAGCCAGAAGGUUUGUCAGAAGAUCUAUCUUGGUAUGAUAGGCUCUCUUCUCUAUCUGAUGGGCACACGCCCUGAUAUUCUUUUUAGUGUGUGCCUCUGUGCCAGAUUCUAAUCAGACCCCAGGGAAUCUCAUUUAACAAUUGUUAAAAGAAUCCUCAAGUAUCUGAAAGGAACCCCUAACCUUGGCCUGAUGUAUGAGAAAACAUCAGAGUAUAGGCUCUCUGGUUAUUGUGAUGCAGAUUAUGCAGGGGACAGAAUGGAAUGCAAAAGCACAUCUAGGAACUGUCAGUUCUUGGGAAAUAAUCUCAUAUCAUGGGCCAGCAAAAGACAAUCAACCAUAACCCUCUCCAUUGCAGAAGCAGAAUAUAUAUCAGCGUCACUCUGCACCACUCAGAUGCUCUGGAUGAAAAAUCAACUAGAAGACCUUCUGAUCUUUGAGAGUAAUGUUCCUAUCUUAUGUGAUAAUACUGUUGCCAUUUGUUUAAGUAAGAAUCCUAUAUUGCAUUCCAAAGCUAAGCACAUAGAAAUCAAACAUCAAUUCAUUAGAGACUAUGUUCAGAAAGGGAUAAUAUCUUUAAAAUUUAUUGAUACAGACCAUCAAUGGGCUGACAUCUUUACUAAACCCCUUGCUGAAGACAUAUUCUCUUUUAUUUUGAAAAUUUUGAACAUUCAAAUUUGUCCAGAAUAAAUGUGCUUCUCUGAAAUUGCAAAAUAAGACUCUGAAUUAAACAUCUAGUAUCUGGAUUUGACUCUGAUGCUUCUACCAGUUAGGAGUCAUCUGAAUCAGAAAUCCUCAGGACCUAACCCUUUGAUAUUCUUGAAGAUCAGAUAAAUCAACAUGUGGAGCAUCAUGCGUCUGACCUUGAAUCUUCUAGACAACUGUCUAGCAGAAAUCAAGAGACAGACUCUUGAAAUCUCCUCGAGCAGUAUGCUGAUUUGGGGAUUAGACCUCCAUAAUGGGCUGUAAUCAUUUCUCCCCUAAGAGUGUAAACUUGGAUAACGUGCUUCAUUUGAUUUUUAACAUCUAAACUACUUAUAAUACUGUCAUUUUGCAUGUAUCUAUUUGUGUGUAUAUACUUUUCACUCAUCACAAGCUCACACUGUACACUCACACCCUACACAAACCAUUUUUCCUCUCUCAAUUAUUCAUCAUCUUCAUCAAGGUUUUCUUCAUUUUCAACAAGUUCUUCAUUGUUCAAACCUCCUUCAACAUUGUUCUACAUGGAUGUUCAACAACAAUUUGUCUACAACUACUCACAACAAAUGGAUUCAACGGAUCAACCACCCAUUUCUACUCAACAAUUAACUGUAACUAUCGGCGUUGUCUCAACCCCCAUCUACAGGGAAACCCACAUUCUUAACCGUGAACCUCACAUCCACCUAGCAACACCAUUUGAGAAGCUUGAGGUACUGUGCAAAUCGCUGGUGGAUUUUGAAAAUAUGAAGAGAAAUGGCGUACACAUAACUGAAGAGUUAAGAAUGCAAGGGUGGGAAACCUAUUUUUAGAGACUCUACGACCCUGUGUACACAUAUCUGGUGAAGGAGUUCUGGUGCUUCGCAGAUUCAGAUGAUCACUAUAUUGUCUCUCAUGUUAUGGGAGUCAAAAUAGUCAUCAUUGAGAAAUCAAUAGCCUACCUUCUCAACAUGGAAAACAUAGGAGGAAGAAGAAUCUACAACAUCAACCCUAAGGCAAAAUACAUGUCCCAGGAAAUAUCCCCCACUAUCUUUCUACAGAACACUGAGGGAAAAAACUCCAAGAACAAAUAACUUCAUCAGAAUCUCCGCGUCUGGCUGAAGAUUAUCCUGGGCACCAUUGAUCACCGCCUUGCAUCAAACUCUUCUGACUACAUCAACACAUAUCAGAAGUGCAUUCUGUAUUGCAUCCACAAGGGGCUGAAAUUGAAUCUACCAACACUGCUUUUCAAGUAUCUCAGAGACUCUGUCAAAGAUACAAGAAACAAUAUGAAGCCCAGAACCUAUAUCCCUCUGGGGAGACUCAUCUCAAAUGUUCUGAUCAAGAGUGGGUUGGUGGAUCACCUGAUCCGGCACAAUCUAAUGGAGAAUGUCACGAUUGACAUUGGGAGACCUCUGAAUGCUCAGAAUCUGAAGAGUAUGAGGAUAAUUGAGAAAGUUAGAUCUAAACCAACUCUAGACACUUCCUGGGAAGCACUUAAGGAUUAGAGGAAGAUUCCCAACAGUCUCUAUCUGUUCUCCAAGAUUGACCCUCCAAAAGUGGUAGCUUACUAUCUACAAGAUCUUGCAAACCAAAGGGUGGACAUUUUUGAGUUCUCAGUGGACUGGCUACCUGAGCAUCCACCAAAAUUCAUGAAGACGAUGCGAGAGCCCUCUGAGAAGUCCAAGAAGGUGAAGAAGGCAAAGCUGGGAGAAACUUCUGGGUCAAGACCUCCUAUCCCUCUGGCUGACUCUCCAAGUAAGUCUAUAACUCCUUCCUGCUUUGUAAAACUUAAGCCUAUUGCUUCUUCUCUUCCCCCAAACCACUCCCAUCUACACCUCAUCCGAAACACCCCCAUAAACCACCAGAACCUCUAACCCACCAUCUCUCAAAUUCAACCUUGCAACCACUACACUACCCGUUUCUGAAGCAGAAAUGCUAAACGAAACUACCUCACCAUCAUCAUCCUCACCUUCAACCCCACCAUACUAUGUUCUUUCAUCUAAAAAUGAAACUUCUGACCCCCAAUCCCCCAAUCUAGCUCAACUUCAAGCUCGUGCUCUGGCCUCUCAACAGCCAUCACAAACUGAACCUGAACCUAAAGUAACUUCCCCACCCCUUGAACAACAAAAUCCACCUCCAUCUGAUCAACCUCAAACACCACCACCUGUACAACCUAAUCCACCUCCUAAACAACUAAUACCCUCACCAUUUGAACCUCAACCAAAUUUUUAACCCGAACAAACAACACCAUCUCCCUCUGAUAUUCCCCCACCACAAACCUCUGCUGCCGUCAGCACUCCUAUUCAAAAUCCAGAUGACACCAACCAAACUCCACCAUCCUCUCCAGCUUCUAAAUCUGAACCAGAAACUGCCUUCCCCACAUUAGAAGAAGCAAUAACUAUUUUUGCAGAGUCUUUAGUGGAGAAUAUCAAGUCUUUGUCUGUCAACUCUGGCAUCACUGAUGAUCCCUUUGCAAUAAGGAUCCACUGGAAUAGAGUGAUCAUAUGAAUGACCUCUGAAGCCUUCAAACUAAAAGGCCUCUAUGAACAAGUCCAGAACGACUUCAUCAGAGAUGCUGGAAUUAGGCUAUAGGCUCGCUUGGCCAGAGAGGCUGAGGAAAAGGCCAUGAAGGAAGUAGAAGAGAAAGCUCGACUGGAAGAAGAGUAUAGGAUCAAAGAAGCUGAAGAAAAGGCUGAUGUUGUUGCGGCUGCUGCUGAGGCUGAGGCACAAGCUAAAGGCGAAGCUGAAAAAGCGGCACGCAUUGCUGCAAAGGAAGCUGCCAAGGCUAGGCCUGAUGCUUUGACUCAGGGGGAGAAAUCUAACUCUGGUUUUUCCCCUCUGGUCUAAAAGACUCUGGAGGAAUUUCAAAAGGAACAACAAGUGGUACGAGCUAGGUUGGAUCACCAGGAUUCUGUCAACACCAACAUUCAGAACCUGUUGACUCAGCUGCUCCAAAGGAUGCUUCCUCCCCCAAACCCUUAGGCACUUAGGCUCUUUGUUUGUUGCUUUUUCUAUGAUGUUUCUUUUGCUUUCUGAUCUAUGCUUUCGUUGCUUCCUAUUUGUACCUGUUUUUCUCUUAUAUAUAUGAAUAUCCAUUUCCUUCUUAUCCUUCUGUCUUUUUUAUUCUAACAAAAAGUAGGAGAACUAAAAUAGCUCUGAUGAAAAUAUGUAUCUAAAACCUCUCAAGGCACUGCGAACAUUAUAAAAUCUAAAUGACUUAUGACAACUAAAGUUAUGCAGGAUAAUAGCUAAGGUACAAAACCAACUCCACAUAAGGAAGGUCCGGUAAGAACUUCUGUUAAAUCUGAUGAUCUAACUCAGGGGGAGUCCAUUCCUUUUAUCUGUUCUAAGAUAUUAUGUAUUGUUUCAUCAUUACUUUGACUUGUUUUGUCAUCAUCAAAAAGGGGGAGAUUGAAGGAACAAAUUUAGUUCUACAAUGUAUCUCUAAGAUUUUGAUGAUAACAAAGGAUGAAACAAAAGUGGUACCCUAACGAAUUUUUUUUAAGUGUGCAGGACUCUGAUCAAAAUAAUCGGAUAGACAAUCAUCAGAUACAGAAUCAAGCGCUAAGAUACUACUCAUAAGAUAACGUGACCAGAAGGCUCUGACUCUGAUCCAACGCAGGUGCUAACAAAACUAAAGAAGUCAGAAACUCUGAAAGAGAAGAAUGAAUCCAGACUCUAAAGACGUACGCUCUGAAGAAGUCAAAUAAAGAGAAACUCUGAUGAAGUCAGAUACAAGCAUUCUCUGAAGAAGAAUAUCACUAAAUAAAGACUCUGACUACAGGAUUCGCUGAUUCAAGAAAGCUUAACCUUGAAGAAAACUGCUUAUAAAAAGAAACUAUUUUUAGAAGGAAGUUAUGACGCUCCCAUUACUGCUUUGGAAUGAACAAGAAGAGUAAUCAGAUUAAUCAUUAUUCAAUGACUAAGAUUCUAUCAUUAACAUCACCCAACGGUCCUCUCAUUCUCCUAUAAAAAGGAUGGGACGCUUCACAAGAAACACACCUGAGAUACACGAGAAUAAAAUUCUUCCAUUACUUUCUUUCACUCUAUCACGAGCCGCUGCUCUUAAGUGAGAACUUUUCUUUCUCUUAUACUCUUUAAUAUUUGCUUAUUGUUAGAAGCACUAUUACUUACUAAUCAUAUCAUUGCCAAGAUAUUUCCUCAAGUGACUCUGUAAAGUCUGAAUACUUGAGAGGGCUAAGGGAUUAUUUCUCUUAGACGGUUGUUUGUGUAAUCUUUCAAGAUUAGUGGAUUAAGUCCUUUUUGAAGGAGAAAUCACCUUGGUCGGAUGGAAUGUAGUAGCUUUGAAUUUCAAGCGAACCAGUAUAAAAUUCUGUGUUGAAUCCUUUUUAUUCUGCGUGUGUCUACGUUCUUAAAAAGUUUUUAUUUUCCAAAACAAUUCAAACCCCCAUUUCUUCUUUAUCUCUACCUUCAGAAGUUUGGAGCCAUUUUUAAAUUUUAAAAGUAACUUUAAUAUAUAUUUUAAUUGAUGUAACUUAACACAUGAAUUGGCAUUGCGCCCUAGUGGUAAAACAUUGGUUGUAAUGUUUAUUUUUUCUCACUUGUUAAAUAUUCAUUUUUCUUCAUAACUUGAAAUAUCCAUAACUUCAUGAUCCCUUAACAUUUUUUAUCCAUUAUUUUUGCCAUGUGUUCAUGAGAAUGUCUAUUUUAUGAUGACACCAAAAAAAAUCCAAAAAAAUUAUUUAUUUCACCACUUUUGAUUGGAUGGGAAACAUGUGUUUUUAAGUAUUUUUUUAAGGCUCCUAAUUGAUUCUUUUUGCUUAUAACUUGUUUGUUCUUGAUGUUGAAAGUUUGUAUGAUUAAAGCACACUCUUUUAAAUUUUAAUUGUUAUCCUUAACAUGUUUGAAAUUGAUUAUAUUCAUACAAUAUAUCAAUUGAUUCACCUUGAAAAAGAUGUUUGAAUGAAUGGUUAGGAGGUGAUUAGGUUUCCAUUUAAGUUUGGUCUUAUCAUGAACUUUGAUGCAUGUUUGACCUAAAUUAAUUCAUGUUGUGUUUACCAUGUACCAAUAAAUUCUUUUACCAUGUCAAAUAUGAUUUUGUCUUCACCAUCAAUAUGUUGUGUCUUGUGAUGUUAUGUGAAACUUCGUCAUGUCUUGUUUAUGUUUAUCUCAAUGCCUAAAACCCAUGAUUAAUAUUGUCAUACAUACCUCACUCACCUUGUGAUUGCCAUUGUAUUUAGCCAUAUUUUGUGCCUUAAUGUUAAUGCAUGUUCAAACUUGUUAUUGUUUAAAUCCAAGGGAAAGGAAUCAUGACAUUAUUGUCAUUUUGCAUGUGUGUGUUCAUCUGCAUUCUAUACAAAUUUUCUUCCCCUUAAUCCAAAAACUUCUAGAUACAAUCUUAGGUUCCCCUCAAUGUAAACCUUAGGAUUUUAUAUAUCUCUCUCUCCUUCUUAUAACCACUUUUAUAAUAAACUUUGACUUAGGUCAUCGUUUUCCCCUUUAUUUCUUAAUCAAGUGCUUCAAAACACUUAAGCAUAUUCAAAGAUCUUUUCAUAAGACCUAAAAAACACAAACUUAAUUCAAACCCUUUUGCCACUUUGGCUUUUCCAUGUUUAAAACCUUUUCAUAAAAGGAUUAGACAUAAUAAGACCUAAAAAACACAAACUUAAUUCAAACCCUUUUGCCACUUUGGCUUUUCCAUGUUUAAAACCUUUUCAUAAAAGGAUUAGACAUGAGUCAUCCCUAGUUAAGAUUUAAAUCUCCUACCCCACAAUAUUGUUGAGAUUGAUAUUGAUUCUUUUCCAUUUGGAAGAGGUAUGUGGCAUACUUGUUGAUUCUAUAUCCAAGUGAGAACCUUUCUUUCAAUUUGAUGCAAAGAUCUAUCAUCCACAUGUUUGUGGUGGUUUAAAAGUGAGUUUUCUACUUAAGAUGAUAAUUUGUAUCUUUCUCAUAAAAUCAACCCCAACAAAUCCCUUCUUACUUUUGAACCCGAACUACGAGGUUUUGAUCCUUCACGGGUACGUAGGCAUAAAACUCAGUGUCUUUCCAAAUCAUCAAACAAUAACAAGAUGUUCUUUUUCUCAUCUCCCCAAUCAAAUAACAAACAAUUUGAAACCAAACACAUAUAUUUAAAAGGUUCCUAUAGAGUACUACAAAUGAUUAGGGUGCUAAUACCUUGCCUUUUCAUAACGCACCCCCGUACCUUAGAAUCUCCACCCCCUCUUUUGCUUAGCUUAAGUUUAAUAUUCUAGAUUUGCAUAUACAUAUUGGGUUAUUUUUUAAUUUCUUUUCCCCUUCCCUUGGAUAAAUUAAUGUUCGGUGGUGAUAUUUUGAUUCAUGAGUCAAGUCUAAUCAAUAGCUUGGUCUCCGAUUCUUCACCGUGACAGAAAUGGCGACUUCAUUGGGGACGAAAUAUUAAGUGGGUGAUACCUAAAUUGUUUAUAUGUGUUUAUUAUUAUUAUUUGUUGCUAUGUUUGCUUGGGGUUUCAUUAUGGAGAUCUAUAAGUGGUGAGGAAAUCAUAACCCGGAUUAGAGAAUACAAAUAAGAUAGGAUGGUGGUAUAAUCAAAGUUACAUGUCUGGAGUAAUCCUAAGCAUGAUUAACAUAUGAUAUAACCCCGCUCAGUGGAGACCCCUUUGAUGGUAAUAAAAGUUACAUGUCUGGAGUAAUCCUAAGCAUGAUUAACAUAUGAUAUAACCCCGCUCAGUGGAGACCCCUUUGAUGGUAAUAUUUGUUGUUGCGAGUAAAUCGUAGUGGCAUUAUUAUCUUCGACCUUGGAGUCUAAGAAACUGAGGACCUUUAGAACCCUCUCAACCCCUCUAAGCCUUUUUAGGAUGUAGUGCAGAGAUUAUCCAAGUGUAAGAUAUUAGGUAAUUAUUACACGAUGCUACACUCAUACGAGUUUCUCUUGAGAAUAUUAUUGGUCUGCGAGCAAUUUGUUAAACCGAUAAUAUACGAAAGAUGGAUCUAUGACUCUGGGGACCACUUUAGAACCUUAUUCUACAUGUACAAAAUAAACCCAUUAGUUCAUACAUUGUGGGAUGGUUAGACCCUUGGCUCCAUGCUUAAUGUCAAAACCCUAAACCCGUAUUUGUGAAACAUGCAUUCAUGCAUCCAUAAAAACCUUUUUGCAUAAAAACCAAGAACACACAAUAGUUUUCUUUUGCGAAUAUCGAUAGGUAAAAAAUGGAAAUUGGAAGGAGGAAUACCAAGAAAUACACUUUCAAAAGUCCUGACUUAAUAGAGUUGAAGAAGCUUGGUUCUAUGAUAGUUUGUCCAGAAAACUUCAUAGCUCAGUAUGGAAGACUUAUGGGUAUCUUGAAGACCAAGGUUGAAGAUGCAGUUCUCAACACCCUGGUACAGUUUUAUGAUCCACUCUACCAUUGCUUCACAUUUCCAGAAUACCAGCUUAUGCCUACUCUAUAAGAAUACUCUUAUUGGUUUGGUUUUCCAGCCUCUGACAAAUUGCCAUUCAGUGGUUCAGAGAAGACCCUUACACCAGCAGCUAUUGCGGAAGCACUUCACCUACAAACUCCUGUUGUGAAGGCCAACUUCAUUAAAAAAGGAGGGAUUCUAAGUCUAACCUAUAGGUUCCUGAUAGAGAAAGCCUAUAUCUUUGCAUAACCAGAUAGUAGAGAUUCCUUUGAAGCCAUUUUUGCUCUACUCAUUUAUGGAAUUGUGCUCUUCCCAAACAUUGAUGACUUUGUGGAUGUUAAUGUUGUACGAAUCUUCUUAAUUGGUAACCCGGUACCCACAUUACUUGGAUAUACCUACCAUUUUAUCCAUCACAUGACUAAGAAAGGUGGUGGAACCAUUCUUUGUUGUGCACCUCUCCUAUAUAAGUGGUUUAUUUCUCACUUACCCAGAUCUAGGCUCUUUAGGGAGAACCCGCAGAAGCUCAGAUGGUCUCAGAGGUUCAUGUCCAUUGAUCACGGGAAUACACAUUGGUAUGACUCCUCCUAUGAUGUUGGAGUAAUUAUUGACAGUUGUGGUGAAUUUCCUAAUGUACCUCUCCUUGGUGUACAUGGGGGAAUUAACUACAACCCCAUCCUUGCCAGACGCCAGUUAGGAUAUCCUAUGGCAAUGUUGGAGUAAUUAUUGACAGUUGUGGUGAAUUUCCUAAUGUACCUCUCCUUGGUGUACAUGGGGGAAUUAACUACAACCCCAUCCUUGCCAGACGCCAGUUAGGAUAUCCUAUGGCAGAUAAACCCGAUAACCUUCUGUUGUCAGGUUUCUUUUACCUCAAUGAAGAAGAGAGUUCCAGUUUGAAGGAUAGAAUAAUACGUGUUUGGCGUAACAUUCACAUGAAAGGAAAACACCGAUUAGGAAGAAAGAAUUGUGUUGCUUUUGAGCCCUACACCUAAUGGGUUUGUGCUAGAGCCAGUGAACUUAAGACACCAUAUGCUCCUGAGAAACCCUCAUUACCUUAUGUUAUAACAUCAUUAUCCACCAUUCCUAUUGAGAAUAGGGAAGAGUUUCAAGAAAUUUUGGCUAGGUUGAAAUUGGAAAGAGACACUUGGGAAGACAAGUACCAUGUCUUGAAUGAUAAGAAGAUGAAGAUGGAGUAGCAACUAAAGGAGAAGGAUGAUUUGAUUAAGAUUCUGGAAAAAUAAGCUGUGAAGAAAUAGGAGGAACAAGAAGGUUUACUUCUCUCUAAAGUCCAGCCAUUUCAUGAGUACUCUAGCAUACCUCCCACAGCAGAUGCUUGGAAGGGAAUCAUCGACAAGCUUAUGAUCGAGAACGCUCAGAUAAAGAGGCAAAAGAGGAAGCAUCAGCCAACAACAGGACCUUCUACAGAUGAGCUUCCUUAGGACUCAUAGACUUAGAUGUUUUCCAUUUGUAUUAUUUAGGAUCGUUGAAAUUGUAUUUCAUCCCUCGUAAUCCAUCAAUUCUUUAAUAAAAAGAGGUUUUUGUUCAGCUUAUACCAAAUUUUGUCUCUAUAAUAUUUGCAAUAAAUUAUUGAGUUUCUUAAAAAUUAAAACUCAUUUUUUGCAUCUGUAUAUCAUGCAUCAUUCAAGCACAAGUUCCUGCAUUUCAAGAAACUUACACGUGUCUUCUCCCUCCAAUAGCCAAACUGAAUCACUAGUACAAUACUCAAGCCAAUCACGAGAGAAGGAUGAGUAAGCUUGAACAAGAAAAUCAAGAGCUCAGGGAGGAAGUAAUCACCUUGAAAGAAAAUUUGGAAAGGCUUACUGCUAUGAUGAAGACUUUGGUGGCUGCUCAAAAUCAGUCAUCGAACAAUUCUCAAGAUCCAUUACAACGAACAACAAUCUUUGAGAACGUCUCGACGCCCAUUCCAGUGGUUCCCGUCAAUGAUCAACAAUAUCACAUGCCACCUGGUUUCCCUUGGGGCAUGCCUCACGAUUAUAUGUCAACUAGAUACCGCCCUUAAAAGGCUGAAGCUCCAGUAGUGACUGUUGUGAUGUCUGUACCUCCUCUUGUGGUGCGUACGACUCCUUAUAAUGAAGAAAAAAUUUAUCACGCUGCUCCAAGGGAAGUUGUGGGAGUAGAUGGAAGGUUAGAGGGAUUUCAAGACCAGUUCUUAGAAAUGCAAAGGGAAAUCAAUGCUCUUCGAGGAAAGGAUCUUUUUGGCAAGAUCGCUUCCGAACUCUGCUUGGUUCCUAAUGUUCAAAUUCCAUCCAAAUUCAAAGUACCAAACUUCGAGAAAUACAAAGGAAAUUCAUGUCCUCAAAGUCAUUUGGUGAUGUAUGCUAGGAGGAUGUCCACUCAAACUGAAAACCAUCAACUUCUGAUCCACUACUUUCAAGACAGUUUAACUGAUGUCGCUCUUAAAUGGUACAUGGGCUCGGACAACGCGAAGAUCCGUACUUUCAAUGACCUUGGUGAAGCUUUUGUUCGUCAAUACAAAUAUAAUGUAGAUAUGGCUCUGGACAGAGAUCAACUUCGGGCCAUGUCUCAGAAAGACAAAUAGAGUUUCAAAGAAUAUGCUCAAAAUGGUGUGAAAUUACUACACAGAUUUCCCCCUACUUGAAGAGAAAGAGAUGACUAAAAUAUUUUUGAAAACUCUGAGUUUAUUCUACCAUGACCGCAUGAUCGCCAACGCACCCAGUGAUUUCACCGAGAUGGUAAACAUGGGCAUGCGACUUGAGGAAGCAGUCUAAGAGGGACGUUUGACUAAGGAAACCGACACUUCUAGUCAUGUUAAGAAAUUUUCCAAUAAUUUCUCCAAGAAGAAAGAAACGGAUGUUAGUGUCGUUUCAUAUGGUACACAAAAAAGAAAGUAUCAACACGUUGCAACUAUUUCACCAAUCAUUAGUCCACCAAUGGUAGCGCCAAUUUAUCAGCCACGGUUCUCGCAUCAACAUCAACAACAGUAUCCUCAACAUCAUCAACAACAACAACAUGUUCAACAACAACCAUCAAAUUAACAACAUCAACAACCUCCAUAGCAGGCUCGCUCUCAACUCAAUAAUCUAAAUCGUGUUAAAAAAAGGCCACAGUUUGAUCCUAUCCUAAUGUCCUACGUAGAAUUAUUUCCUGCACUGCUAGCUAAAAAUCAUGUCCAAACAAGGUUUCUAGCACCCGUGCCAAAGGACCUUCCCUAUUGGUACAAGGCAGAUCAAUUUUGUGCUUACCAUUAAGGGGCACCAGGACAUAGCAUUGAAAACUGUUUUUGUCUAAAGUCAGAUGUUCAGAGGCUCAUCAAGAGUGGUGUCCUUUCAUUUAAGGACAUAAACCCCAAUGUUCAAGUUAAUCCUCUUUCGCAACAUGGUUCAUUAUCAGUUAACAUGGUAUAUGGUUACCCGGGCAGUUUCCGGAUCUAUGAUGCACGGUGGUUGGGCAAGAACUUAGUAAAGAAACAAGCCAGAUAUAGCAAGAAUGGUUUUGUGCCUCUACAUAUCUACGCCUCUUGCAUGGUUUAUUCCAGGAACUCUCAAGGAUGCCUAACUGUUGUAACAAAUCUCCAGGAUCAAAUGGACCAAGGUUACAUUGUAGCUUACCGAGCCAAAGAUUAUAAUCAGGUCAAUAUGGUCAAUAGUGACAACGAAGUGAAUGUCAUAGUUCCUCAAUUCAAUGAAUCCGAGCCUAUACAGAUUACUUAUAAUAGUCAGAAGACUUUUGUGACUCCUCUGGUCAUUAACCUACCAGGCCCAAUUCCCUACCAAUCUGAUAAAGUUGUGCCUUAAAAGUACAAUGCUAUAAUAACUGAGAAUGGAAAGUAUGUUCCUCUACCCUCCAUUGUUAACGUCGUUGAUGUAAGCAGGGUCACAAGGAGUGGGCGUAUAUUUGCAAAAAGGACUGAGGAUGUGUUGAGACCCCUUUUGAACUGGUUGGCCAAUCUGAUAACAUGAAUCUGAAAAGUGAUGAUGAUGAGGUGUUGAAGCUCAUCAGGAAAAGUGAAUACAAUGUGGUGGAACAAUUACUGCAUACACCUUCCAAGAUAUCUAUAUUAUCUUUGUUGAUGAACUCUGAGGCUCACCGUGAAGCUUUGCAUAAAGUCUUAGGACAAGCCUAUGUAGACCAUGAUGUGACGGUCGGACAGUUUGAUGGUAUCGUCGCUAACAUCACGACCUGCAACAACUUGAGUUUCAGUAAUGAAGAGCUCCUCGAAGAAGAAAGAAAUCAUAACAUGGCACUAAAUAUCUCAAUCAACUAUAUGAAUGACUCUUUGUCAAGUGUGUUAGUGGAUACAUACUCGUCUCUCAAUGUAAUGCCGAAGUCGACACUUUCCAGACAUUCUUUUCAAGGUGCUCAUAUAAAGAGUAGCGGGAUUAUUGUUAAAGCUUUUGAUGGUUCCAAAAAAACAGUCAUUGGAGAAGUAGACCUUCCUAUGACCAUCGGACCUCAUACUUUCCAGAUAACAUUCCAGGUGAUGGACAUAAAAGCUACGUAUAGUUGUUUAUUGGGUCGUUCUUGGAUCCAUGAAGUUGGGGCAGUCACUUCCACUAUGCAUCAGAAGCUUAAAUUUGUGAAGAACGGGAAGCUAGUGACAAUCUGUGGGGAGAAAACACUGGUUAUGAGUCACUUAUCAUCUUUCUCUUAUCUUGAACCUGAAGAAGCCGUUGGAACUCAAUUCCAAGCCCUUUCUUUGAUUGACAAAUAUGUCAAGAGAGGAGUAUCCAUCUCUUCAUUCAAGGAUGCACAACGGCUAGUAAAUGAUGGUAUAACCGAUGGUUGAGGAACAAUUUUGGAUCUCCCAGAAAACAAACACUGAGAGGGUUUAGGAUUUUCUCUUAAUUCCAAGAAGAUUGCAAAAGGAAGUAGAUAUGUUAGUUCAAUCAAAGAAACCUUCCAUAGUGGAUGGUUCAUCAAUCCCACUUUUCCAGAAGUUAGUGCCAUCACUAAGGAUGAUGAUUCAGUAUGGGAACCCUACUCCGAUGAUCCUGAAUAUGAUCUUGAGGCAGAAGAUGCAUAUGUUCCUUUCUACUUUCCUCAUCAUAGAGAACUUGAAUAUAUCACAGAGAUGUUCCUAUUGUUAUUCACAUUUCGAAUUAAUAUUUUGUUGUUUGUUUUCUUUUCAAAAAAAUCCUUUUGUUAUGCCUAAGGCAAAAGUGAGAAUGUUUGGGCUUGUGUUUCAAUAAUUAAAUCAAUGAAAAUGUUAUUUUGUUUCCAUAUUGUUGUUUUUAUUAUUUUGCUGUUUAAUUCUAGAAAAUUGGUAAUCUAAAAUAAACAAGUAACCACUUCCAAAUAGCUGCACACAACUUCACACUUUUAUCUGUUUCUAAAACAAGCAUAAAAUCACAUGUGCAAAUUAAUUCAUGACAUAUCCAUUAAAACCAAUGACCCUAUGCCCUCUUGCAACUUUGAAUUCCCUGUGUACGAAGCGGAAGAAGAAGAAGAGGAAGACAUUCCAGAUGAAAUCUCUAGACUGCUAAAAAAUGAAGAAAAGACCAUUCAGCCAUUCAAAGAGCCUGUGGAAGUAAUCAACUUCGGUUCUGAAAAGGAUAGAAAAAAAGUCAAAGUUGAAGCACUGCUCGCGCUAGAGGUCAAAGAAAGGAUGAUAGAGCUUCUUCGAGAAUAUACUGAUGUAUUUUCUUGGUCAUACCAAGACAUGCCAGGGUUGGACGCCGAUAUUGUGGAGCAUCGUAUACCGUUUAGGCCAGAGUGCCCACCGAUCAAGAAAAAGUUAAGAAGAACUCGUUCGGAUAUGGCAAUCAAAAUCAAAGAGGACUUGCAAAAGCAGAUUGAUGUAGGUUUCCUUUUCACAUCAGAGUAUCCGCAAUGGGUGGCCAACAUUGUGCCAUUUACCAAGAAGGACGGGAAGGUUCGCAUGUGUGUUGACUACAGAGACCUAAACAAAGCCAGUCCUAAGGAUGACUUUCCUCUACCACACAUUGACAUGUUCAAGGUCUUCUCUUUCAUGGAUGGAUUUUCCGAUUACAAUCAAAUCAAAAUAGCGCCCAAAGAUAGGGAGAAAAUAGCUUUUAUUACACCUUGGGGCACAUUUUGCUACAAUGUAAUGCCCUUUGGCUUGAAGAAUGCUGGUGCCACCUAUCAACGAGCUAUGACUACUCUUUUUCAUGACAUGAUGCAUAAAGAGAUUGAAGUCUAUGUAUAUGAUAUGAUAGCAAAAUCAAAGACUGAAGAAGAUCAUGUUGAGUAUCAUUCGGAAUUGUUUCAGUGCUUGAGAAAAUACAAACUCCGCUUGAACUCAAACAAAUGCACCUUUGGAGUUCAAUCAGGAAAGCUCUUAGGCUUCAUCGUCAGACAAAAGGGUAUUGAAGUUGAUCCCGACAAGGUAAAAUCCAUUCAGGAAAUGCCAGCACCUCAAACAGAAAAGCAGGUGAGGGGACUCCUUGGACGCUUAAACUACAUUUCAAGGUUCAUAUCUCAUAUGACUGCUACUUGUGCUCCCAUUUUUAAGCUCCUCCGAAAGGAUCAAGGUUUUGUUUGGACGGAUGCAUGUCAAAAAGCCUUUCACGAUAUCAAAGAGUAUUUGCUAGAACCUCCUAUCUUGUCCCUGCCAGUUGAGGGAAGACCACUGAUUAUGUAUCUGACUGUACUAGAAGAAUAUAUGGGUUGUGUCUUGGGUCAACAAGAUGAAACAGGAAGAAAAGAGUAUGCCAUCUAUUAUUUAAGCAAGAAAUUCACUGACUGCGAGUCCCGAUAUUCCAUGUUAGAGAAAACUUGUUGUGCUUUGACUUGGGCUUCCAAGCGUCUCCGUCAAUAUAUGAUGAAUCACAGAACUUGGUUGAUAUCCAAGAUGGAUCCGAUUAAGUAUAUCUUUGAAAAGCCUGCAUUGACCGAAAGAAUUGCUCGUUGGCAGAUACUCUUGUCCGAAUAUGACAUUGAGUAUCACACCCUAAAAGCUAUCAAAGGAAGUGUCUUGGCCGAUCAUUUAGCUCAUCAGCCAAUCGAUGAUUAUGAGUAUAAAUUUUGAAUUCCCAGAUGAAGAUGUGAUGUACUUAAAAGCCAAAGAUUGCAAUGAACCACUACGAAAUGAAGGGCCAGAGCCAGGUUCUCAAUGGUGUUUAAUAUUUGAUGGAGCAGUUAAUGCUUAUGGUAAUGGUAUUGGGGCAAUAAUCAUCACGCCUCAUGGCUCACAUAUCCCUUUUAUUGCAAGAUUAACAUUCAAGUGCACGGACAACAUGGCGGAAUACGAAGCCUGCAUCAUGGGUCUAAAAGAAACCAUUGAUCUUAGAAUAAAAAACCUUGAUGUUUAUGGAGACUCAGCUCUAGUUGUCAAUCAAAUUAAAGGAGAAUGUGAAACUCGUUAACCCAGCCUAAUCCUAUACAAAUACUAUGCAAGGAGGUUAUCUACUUUCUUCAACAAGAUUGAAUUUCAUCACAUCCCUCGUGAGGAAAAUCAAAUGGCAGAUGCCUUGACAACUUUGGCUUCCAUGAUCAUUGUGAAUUGUUGGAAUGAUAUGCCUAAGAUCGAUGUUAUAAGUCUUGAUAGACAUGCUCAUGUAUUUGCAAUGGAAGAAGUCUCUGAUGACAAGCCAUGGUACCACGACUGUUGGUUCUAAGUGUUGGCAGCAAUUUUGGUAAAACAAAGAGUGUUCAUAAGAUGUUACAUAUGAUGUCUUAACAUAAGAUGUCUUGUACCUGCUGGAGGUUUAAAAUAUAAUUACGCAGGAUUGUUUCAGGAUGUCAUACUUGAUGUCAUGACAUCUGAUAAAUGUACUUGCUGGAUAUUUAAAAUGGAAUUAUGCAGAAUUGUUCCAGGAUGUCAGACCCGAUAUCAUGACAUAUGUACACAGAACAUUCAGUCUGAAUGUUAUGUGUUAUGUGAUUGCGCUUUUAAUGGAAAUCUAUGUUUUAUUGAUGAGUUAAUUGCAAACUCUAUCAAUCAAUGAUUACAACGUGAUUUAACUUAUUUUCCAAAGAGAUCUAACCAACUGUCAUAAGAAGAUUUGAAUGGAAAAUAGUUUUAGGGUUUUAUGAUGUCCAAGCCCAGCUGAAUGCUUCUAUCUAACCAACUGUCAUAAGAAGAUUUGAAUGGAAAAUAGUUUUAGGGUUUUAUGAUGUCCAAGCCCAGCUGAAUGCUUCUAUAAAAAGGACAUGGAAAACCUUAUUUGAUACAUAAGAAAUACAGAGAAAAAUAUUGAGAGAGAAUAAGGGUUUAAGUCUUGUGUGGUCUUGUGAAUUGUAAGCCAUUCAAUUCAUCCAUAGAUGAUUGAAUUGGUCUGAUUUUUGAGUUGUAAUUUGUCACUCAAUGCUUUUAAGCAUGAGUGUAUGUCUACUUGAUUGAAGCUGCUAAGUAAGAUCAAGUGUGUGUCUUUGAAGAGUGUAUUCUUUUCAUAAGUAAUUCUUGUUUAAUAUCACUGGUGUGAUUGAGGGGGAGUGAGAUGGGAUCUCAUAUCUAAGAGUUCUUAGGUAGUAGUCAUACGGGUAGAGAUUAGGUGAAAAAUACUGUAACUUGUGUAGUUUACUGAGAGUCUUUGAACUGAUUCUAUUUAGUGGAUUUCCUUCCUGGCUUGGUAGCCCCCAGACGUAGGUGAGUUGCACCGAAUUGGGUUAACAAUUGCUUGUGUCUCUAAGUCUUUGAACUGAUUCUAUUUAGUGGAUUUCCUUCCUGGCUUGGUAGCCCCCAGACGUAGGUGAGUUGCACCGAAUUGGGUUAACAAUUGCUUGUGUCUCUUGCAUUACUAUUCUUUAUCUUUAUCGUGUUUGUAUUGUUCAGAUAUUAGUGUCGUGACAUUACCUUCGAUAUCUCAUAUCUGAUACCAGAAUUUCAAUUGGUAUCAGAGCAGGAAUCCUGCUCUGGUUCUUGGUAAGAUCUAGGGACGAUACUUUCUGGUACUAUGGAGAGAGAUGAAUGAUCUGUUCACAGGCCACCUAUUUUGGAUGGAUCCAACUAUGACUAGUGGAAACCUUGAAUGGUAGCCUUCCUGAAAUCUGUGGAUAAUAAGGCUUGGAAGGUUGUGUUAACAGGCUGGGAACAUCCAGUAGUUGCUAAGGAAGGAGUAGCUACAAUUGAUAAAAAGCUUGAAGAACAAUGGACUAAGGAGGAGGAUUAUCUAGCCCUUGGAAAUUCUAAAGCAUUGAAUGCUAUAUUCAAUGGAUUAGACAAGAAUAUCUUCAGAUUGAUUAACAACUUUGAGGUGGCUAAAGAUGCUUGGGACAUUCUCGAAACCACUCAUGAAGGCACCUCUAGAGUGAAGAUGUCUAGACUACAAUUGCUCACCACCAAGUUUGAAAAUAUAAGGAUGAAAGGAGAUGAAAAUAUUCAUGAAUUUCAUAUGAGUAUCCUUGAAAUUGCUAAUGCCUCAGGAGCCCUGGGAGAGAAGAUGUCAGAUGAAAAAUUAGUAAAGAAAAUACUCAGGUCACUCCCUAAGAGAUUUGCUAUGAAGGUGACAACCAUAGAAGAGUCUCAAGACAUCUCCAAUAUGAGAGUUGAUUAGCUAAUUGGUUCCCUCCAAACAUUUGAGAUGGGAAUGCGUGAUGGAUCUAAAAAGAAAACCAAAAGCAUAGCCUUCAUGUCAAACACUAAGGAGGAAGAGGAGGAAAGUGGUCAGGAUGUUGAUGAAGAUCUGGCAAAUGAUGUAGCAAUGCUGGGAAGACAGUUCAACAGAGUUUUGAAAAAGAUGGAUGUAAGAUCUAAGGCAAAUGUCAAGAACAUCUCAUCUGACAUCAGUAAAUCCAACAAUGCUGGAAGAAGAACAAGGUCAGAUGAUAAGCCCAAAGAAGGAAAAGGAGUACAGUGCCAUGAAUUGAUGGGGUGAUGGACACAUUAGAACUGAAAUAUGGAACCUACCUCAAGAAAUGGAGUCUUGCUGCCACUUGGUCUGAUGAGAGUGAAACAGAAGAGUCUGCAAAUCUGGUGACUGCCUUGACUGGAAGAUGGGGUUCUGAUGAAGACUCAAGUGAUGAUGAAGUAACCUUUGAAGAGUUAGCCACUACCUACAGAAAGUUGUGUCACUGAAGUGCAAAGGUGUGUAAACAGGUUGAAAGCCAGAAGAAGGUAAUAACUCAACUGGAGAAUGAGAAGGUAGAACACUUGGAAACCAUCUCCAAAUUAAAAACAGAAGCAAUGGCUCUGAAUGCCAAACUAGAUGAGAGUCAACAAGUUGAAAGCCAGAAGAAAGUAAUAUCACAACUGGAGAAUGAGAAGGCAGAACAUGUGGAAACCAUCUCUAAGUUAAAGACUGAAGUUGUAUUCUUGAAUUCUAAACUGGAUGAGAUGACCAAGUAUGUAAGGAUGCUAAGCAAUGGAUCUAACACCUUAGACAAGAUUCUCCAGAAUGGUCAAAUAACAGGAGACAAAUCUGGAAUUUGGUUCAAUGAAUCUAAGGUUGAGUGUAGUUACACUAGUGGCAAACCAAAAUCCAAACCUAAGUACAACCAUAUGGAUAGCAGACCUGCGAUGUCACAUCAUAUGUCACAACAUCAUAAAGGAAGACAACAGAAAGGGAAACACCAAAAGUGGAGAUGUUAUUACUGUGGGAAGUUUGGCCACAUAAAACCCUUCUACUAUAAGCUGUAUGGUUACCCUCAGCCUGCUCAUUAUCAACCUAAACCCAAACAUCACAGACCUGUCAACAAAAAGCAAUGGAUUCCUAAGACUAAUGUUACAUGUCUAAAAGCUCACACUUCCUUCAGAGGUUCAGCCAAAGAAGAUUGGUACUUUGACAGUGGGUGCUCCAGACACAUGACUGGAACCAAAAACCUGCUAACUGGCCUUCAUCCUUAGGCCACGAGCUAUGUAACCUUUGGUGAUGGAGCAAAGGGUGAAAUCAAGGGGAUUGGUAAGCUUGAAUGCCCUGGAGUUCCUGAUCUUGACAAUGUCCUACUUGUUAAGGGCUUGACUGCAAAUCUAUUGAAUGCCCUGGAGUUCCUGAUCUUGACAAUGUCCUACUUGUUAAGGGCUUGACUGCAAAUCUAAUAAGCAUCAGUCAACUGUGUGACCAAGGUCUAAAUAUUAACUUCACUAAAACUGAAUGUCUGAUUAGUAACAAAGAAAGUGAAGUGAUCAUGAAAGGAGUCAGGUGCAAAGACAAUUGUCACAUCAGAAACUCAGACAUAUGGAGUUGAUGGGACCCAUGCAGGUGGAAAGCCUUGGUGGGAAGAAGUAUGCAUAUGGAGUAGUGGAUGACUUCUCCAGAUACACCUGGAUCAACUUUAUAUGAAACAAAUCUUAUGUGUUCAAAGUUCUUUUUCUAAAACUUCAAGUAGAAAAGGAAAGUCAAGUUAUCAAAAUUAGAAGUGAACAAAGAAGGAAGAUGAAACCCAAAAGUAAUGAAGGAUUAUUUCUGGGCUACAGCAGAGCAUAUAGAGUCUUUAAUUCCAAAACUAAAGUGAUGGUAUCUAUUAAUGUUGUGAUUGAUGACCAACAGACUAAUGUCACAGACGAUGUUGAGACAUCUCUGAAUGAUUCCCCAGCUGACUUCUCAUACAAGGAGAAUGAACCUCCUCAAGUUGAACCUGACAAAAUCAACAAGGGACCCUCCAUCAGAGUUCAGAAGGAUCAUACCAAAGAUAUCAUUAAGAGAGAUCCAAAUAAAAGGGUCACAACUAGAUCAAGGGAAGUGAUCUCACAUGGUUGCUUUGUGUCCAAGAUUAAGCCUAGGAAUUUCAAGGAAGCCUUGACUGAUGAGUUCUGGAUCAAUGCCAUACAGAAGGAGUUAGGUCAAUUCAAGAGGACUGAAGUAUGGGAACUGGUUCCCAGACCUGAAAGAACAAAUGUCAUAGCUCUCCCUAAGUCCAUUAGAUUAUUACAUGGAGUGGCAUGUAUUCUGAGGUUCAAAUUGUUCCAAAUGAGUGCCCUCUUGAAUGGCUACUUGAAAGAGGAGGUAUAUGUUGAACACCCUAAAAGACUCACAGAUUCAAACCUUCCAAAGCAUGUGUACAAAUUGAAGAAAGCCCCCUAUGGUGUGAAGCAAGCUCCUAGGGCUUGGUAUGAGAGACUCAUAGUGUUCCUCACUAACAAUGGCUACAAGAAGGAAGGUAUUGACAAGACCCUAUCUGUGAAAAAUGAAGGAGGAAAGCUCAUGGUGACUCAAAUAGAUGUGGAUAAUAUUGGGUUUGGUGUGAGGUCAGAUCAAAUGGUAGAACAUGUUGUUAGAAAAAUGCAGUCUAAGGUUGAAAUGAGUCUUGUUGGACUUGGGCUACAAGUCAAGCAGAUAGAAAAGUCUAUUUUUCUAUCUCAAAGCAAAUAUGCCAAGAACAAGGUUAAUAAUGUUGGCAUGGAGAAUGCAGAUCAUAAAAGGACAUCUGCUCCUACACAUUUGAAAGAUGAAAAUGGUGUUUGUGCUAUAUAUCAAGCUGAAUACAUUGCAGUUGGAAGUAGUUGUUCUCAACAAGGUUGGUUGAAACAAAUGUUGACUGAACACAAUGUCAUACAAGAUGUCAUGACAUUGUACUAUGACAACCUGAGUGUUAUAACUAUUUCCAAAAAUCCUAUUCAGCACAGCAGGACUAAGCACAUUGAUAUUUGUCAACACUUCAUUAGAGAAUUUGUGGAAGAGAAAAUCAUAGCACUGAAGCAUGAAAUGCAAUUAGCUAACAAAUUUACAAAGGCUUGGGAUGCUAAUCAGUUUGAAUGUUUAAGAGAGAAAGUGGGGAUUUGUAUUCAUGAGAAUUUAUAGCAAUUAACGUGGAGUGGAAAAGGUAAUAAAAAUAUUGUCUGCCCACUUAAAAGAAAGUGCCUCAUUUAUGGUAAAUCAUUACCUAGUAUUGGAACUAGUAUCUAUGUCAUUUCCACACGCUACCUCAACACAACCAUAAAAAUAUUGUCUGCCCACUUAAAAGAAAGUGCCUCAUUUAUGGUAAAUCAUUACCUAGUAUUGGAACUAGUAUCUAUGUCAUUUCCACACGCUACCUCAACACAACCAUUUCCAUCUUCAUCCAAACUCUCAGCCAACCUCUACUAGGGCAACAACAUUUCUCUCAAAAGUUAAAAAAUGUCACAACAUCCCUCAUCCUCUAGAUCAAAACCCACUCACAAAGCAAGGAAUCCCUCCAUGGAGUUUCUGGAUGAAGAUAUUUUGGAGGUUAUUCCCGUCUCUGUUAUUCCAGGCGACGCCCCUGGCCCUUCUUCCACGACUGGAAACAAUCAAGGUAACAUUCCUGAUAACCCUCCUCCUAAGGAUGACAUGCACUAUAUAGAUCGUGUCAUUAGGAACCUGGUAACUAGGAUUCUCAACGAAGGGCAUGCAAUCAAGGGUGUUUCGACCCCUCUGUCUAGAAAGGACCCCUCACCUGAGGUGGAACCCCAAACUGAGAAAGAUGAUGAUUCAUCUAGAUCAGAGAAAGACAUGGUUGCUGAGGGACUAUGCUCUCUAGGUAAAACCUUGCCUAGUAAGAAACCAGUAGAUGUGUCUCAUGAAACUGAUGAGAAGGUUAUUGAUUUGGAGGAAGAGAGUUCAGAAGAGGAAGAUGACACCUUGGUCCAUCAUGUGAAACCAAGUAUUGCAAAGAAACUUAAGACCAGGAAAGGGAAAACUGUGGUUGAGAUGUUGACAGCCAGAACAGGUAGGAAGGUUAUUGCUGUAGGACCCUCUAAAUCAUGGAGUAAAGUAGAGGUCAAGAAGAGGAAGAUCAGAGAAAGCUCUGAUUCUAAACAUGAUGUCGAAGACGAUGUCCCAGACAUCUCUCAUGCUAAAAUGCAGACUGUUAAAAAGUCUCCAGCUAAGGUUGCAGCUGUGCAUUUGGACAACAUUUCUUUCCAUCUGGAAGAUGGUGCUGCCAAGUGGAAGUUUGUUAUUCAAAGGAGAGUUGCUGUGGAGAGAGACCUAGGGAAGGAAGCUGUAGAAGUGAAGGAAGUUAUGAAGUUGAUCAAAUCUGCAGGCUUAAUGAAAACAGUUGUUGCUUUGCCCCAAUGUUUUGAAGGGUUAGUGAAGGAGUUUGUGGUGAAUAUCCCAGAGGAUAUUUCUGACAAGAAUAGCAAGGAAUUUUGAAGGGUUAGUGAAGGAGUUUGUGGUGAAUAUCCCAGAGGAUAUUUCUGACAAGAAUAGCAAGGAAUUUUGCAAGGUGUUUGUGAGAGGAAGAUGUGUAAGGUUCUCCCCAACUAUAAUCAAUAAGUUCAUAAGGAGAGGAACUGAAAGAGGUGUGGAGUUAGAGGCUACAGACAAUGAAGUCUGUAGGACAAUUACUGUUGGCCAAGUCAAGGAAUGGCAAAGUAAGAAGCAUCUAUCAGCUGGAAAAUUAAUUGUUAAAUAUGCCAUCUUGCAUAAGAUUGGUUUAGCCAACUGGGUGCCAAUAAACCAUAUCUCAACUAUCUCUAAUGGUCUUGGAAGAAUAAUCUAUGCUAUUGGAACCAGGCUCAACUUUGAUUUUUGAAGGUUCAUGUUUGAACAAAUUGUUAGACAUGCCUCCACUAAUGCAGUAAAGCUGCCUAUUGCCUUUCCCUCUAUCAUUUGUGGAAUUAUUUUAAGCUAACAACCUGGUAUUCUAAACACAAGUGAUAUUCCUAGCAGAAGGAAGCCUCCAUUGUCCAUUCACUACAAAUUUGAAGGAAGCCAUGUCAAUGAUAUUGUCAUGACAUCUGCAAGGAAGGAGCCAACCUCUCAAGGUGGUUUGAUUGCUCAAUUGAAGGAAACUUGUAAGGAGCUGGAAACUGGGAUUAGGGUUACCAAGGCUAGGAAAGAGGCUUUAGAGGUUCUCAUUAGUAGCUUUGAGCAGGAAGAUAUGGAUAAGGUUAGUGAAGCCAAGGAGUCAGAUGCCCAUACCUCAAGUGAGAGGUCCAAUUCUCAAGAUCAAUCUAGUGGCAGUUCUGAAUCUGAAGGUGAAGAAGAUGCUACUUCCUCAUACUAAGUUGUGAUGGUCCCCCUGUUAUGAAGACUGUGUUUUCUGGAUACUGUUUUGGAUGUUUUUGAAGCUUCGAUGUUUUGUUGUUUUUCUGGUUAAUGUUUUUAUUUUUGGGCAGUCUUUAUGAUGCCAUGAUGUAAUAUUUGGGCUCUUUAUGAGUUCCCUGAAUUUCUGAUUAUCUCAGCUAUUGCAGCUGUGUAUAAUUAUGGUUUGUACCACCUGACAUUUAUGUUUUAACAUUUUAUAUGUUAUAACAUCUCUUGUGAUUCUCUGCUAGACUAAUUGACAUUUAUUUUGUCUAAUUGGUCACCUCUGGUCUAUUUUGACUAAAAAGGGGGAGAAGUAAUUAUGUGGAGUUAUGUGGAGAACUGCAGUUGUAUGGAGAUGUGGAGAGCUGCUGUAGCCAGGCUAAACAAAUGAACAACUAAUGUUGAAGGAGUGUUUGAUGUUGAACAGAAUGAUGUUCUGUUCUGUGAUGUUGGAGGAGAUGUCUGAUGUUCUAUGCAUAUUUUGUGUUGCACAGGUGAUGUUGAAGGAGAUGUCAGAGGGUAAAUCUGAAAAUUACAGGUGCUGAAGGAGAUGUCUGUAUUGAAUAGACUUAGGGGGAGAAGAAGUACCCAUGUGCAUUUGUGUGUUUUACUAGUUGCGAUUAUAUCUAGUAAUUCUGUUUGCUUCUGCUGCUGCUUAAACAUUGUUAUGCUGUUUAACUGCUGAUGUGUUUUUUUCUUGUGAACAAAAUGGACAGAUAUAUGUUUUAGCCAAAAUUUGCCAAAGGGGGAGUUUGUUGGUUCUAAGUGUUGGCAGCAAUUUUGGUAAAACAAAGAGUGUUCACAAGAUGCUGAUGUGUUUUUUUCUUGUGAACAAAAUGGACAGAUAUAUGUUUUAGCCAAAAUUUGCCAAAGGGGGAGUUUGUUGGUUCUAAGUGUUGGCAGCAAUUUUGGUAAAACAAAGAGUGUUCACAAGAUGUUAGAUAUUAUGUCUUAACAUAAGAUGUCUCGUACCUGCUGGAGGUUUAAAAUAUAAUUAUGCAGGAUUAUUUCAGGAUGUCAUACCCGAUGUCAUGACAUCUGAUAUAAUGUACCUGCUGGAUAUUUAAAAUGGAAUUAUGCAGGAUUGUUCCAGAAUGUCAGACCCGAUGUCAUGACAUCUGUACACAGAACAUUCAGUCUGAAUGUUGUGUGUUAUGUGAUUGCACUUUUAAUGGCAAUCUAUGUUUGAUUGAUGAGUUAAUUGCAAACGCUAUCAAUCAAUGAUUACAACGUGAUUUAACUUAUUUUCCGAAGAGAUCUAACCAACUGUCAUAAGAAGAUUUGAAUGGAAAAUAGUUUUAGGGUUUUAUGAUGUCCAAGCCCAGCUGAAUGCUUCUAUAAAAAGGACAUGAAAACCUUAUUUGAUACACAAGAAAUACAGAGCGAAAUAUUGAGAGAGAAUAAGGGUUUAAGUCUUGUGUGGUCGUGUGAAUUGUAAGCCAUUCAAUUCAUCCAUAGAAGAUUGAAUUUGUUUGAUUUUUGAGUUGUAGUUUGCCACUCAAAGCUUUUAAGCAUAAGUGUGUGUCUACUUGAUUGAAGCUGCUAAGUAAGAUCAAGUGUGUGUAUUUAAAGAGUGUCUUCUUUUCAUAAGUAAUUCUUGUUUAAUAUCACUGGUGUGAUUGAGGGGGAGUGAGAUGGGAUCUCAUAUCUAAGAGUUCUUAGGUAGAAGUCAUACGGGUAGAGAUUAGGUGAAAAAAUCACUGGUGUGAUUGAGGGGGAGUGAGAUGGGAUCUCAUAUCUAAGAGUUCUUAGGUAGAAGUCAUACGGGUAGAGAUUAGGUGAAAAAGACUGUAACUUGUGUAGUUUACUGAGAGUCUUUGAACUAAUUCUAUUUAGUGGAUUUCCUUCCUGGCUUGGUAGCCCCCAGACGUAGGUGAGAUUGCACCGAACUGGGUUAAUAAUUUCUUGCGUCUCUUGUAUUACUAUUCUUUAUCAUUAUCCUGUUUGUAUUGUUCAGAUAUUAGUGUCGUGACAUUACCUUCGACACCUCAUAUCUGAUACCAGAAUUUCAACAACAUCAAGUGUUAUCUCCAGAGUUAAGAAUACAUGUAGCGGGGUUUUCGUUACCUUUAGGUUUAUUGACUAAACCAAAAAUAAACAUACAAUUCGAGUCGCCACCGCACUUUAAUUUAUCCAAAGGAAAGGCUAAAAAGCGAACAAAAGCCAAGGUAAGAAGUUUUUCAAAUCAAAAACUAAUAAAAAUAUCAGAGAUCUAGGUAAGGGGGUUGGUUAUGAAAUGGGAAGGUUUUACGCACCCAAAACAUCCUUAGUACUCUAAGGGAACCCUUUUUGCAAAAGUUUUUCAAAUCAAAAACUAAUAAAAAUAUCAGAGAUCUAGGUAAGGGGGUUGGUUAUGAAAUGGGAAGGUUUUACGCACCCAAAACAUCCUUAGUACUCUAAGGGAACCCUUUUUGCAAAUAUGUAUUGUAGGUUGGUAUUUGUGAAAACUUGUGCAAAAGAUUGGAGGGAUGAGAGGAGAAUAGAUUAUAUUUACAAAUUUGUUUUUUGAAUGGAUGAACCCAUUGCCUACGUACCAUCACAAAGGUAGGAUCAAAACCUCGUAGUUCGGGGUUAAAAUCACAAAGAUUGGUGAAUUGAUUUGAUCAAAAGCCUUAAGGUCUUUUGUUAUCAAAGGAAGAACACUCAACCUAAACCAACAUUCCACCAUGUGAGGAGAGAUUCAACAUACUAGUGAGGGGUUAACCUUAUAAUAAGUAUGGAAGACUUAUAAUCCAAUCACUAAGGAUAAGGUGAGAUUUACAUCAACCACUAUGACUAAUGUUUAUGAAAAAAAACUUUUAAUAAGGUGGCCAUUGGAACCACAAAAAACAACUUGAAGUGAGUUAUAUUUACAAGUUAGAUUUAUUUGUAAAAAUAAAGUCAAAGUUGGAUUAAUAUUUAUUCACAAUGAGUAUUUAUCAAAAAUGUUUUGAAAAAGUCAAAGGCAUAAGGCCUAGGUUUCUAAUUUGAAACAAAGUCAAAGUUUGAAGAAAAGAUUUUUGGCUUGGGUUAGAGUGAGGAGAAGAAGAGAAGGGCUAGUCCUAAAGCAUACAAAGAUAAGAGGGAGUAGAUAAAACCCUUGGAGUUCCUUUUCUUGAAAUCAUACAGAUGAUUCAAGAUGCUCCUUUCCUUUGGACUUAAUACACUAGCAAGCAAUCACACUAUUAGAUUCAAGCUCCUAGGAUCUCCAUCUGGCUUGUCUCUCUUAACUUGACUAUUCAUGACAAUGGUUCUCUUUACUAUCUCAAGAUAGAAUCCCUAUCACACAAGAGCAAACAUCAAAAAGUUCACAACACAAUAAGAGGAAUGGACAAAGAAAAAGUUUUGGAAAGGAAGUCCUUUAAAGUCAACUUUUAAAUUUAGCAUUCUAAAGGCAUGAGGCCUAGUUGCUCUUCAACAAGUUUAGCAUUCUAAAUGCAUGAGGCCUAGUUGCUCUUGAAAUCCUUUAAGCAUGGGUAUGUCCUAAUUCUAAGUCCUUUCUCCUUUUUGCAUUAGGUUCUCACAAGACAAAGACAAAACAAUCACUAGACAACAAUAUAUUUAUAUACAAUAAUGAGCUCAAAUGAGAAAAACAAAAAUGACAUAAACAUAAAAUAUAUGCUCAAGUGAGCAAAAUAAAAAGCAAUAUGAAUAAAUGAACAAGAAGUAAAUUGCAUUAAAGUAAAGGGCAAGAAAUUAAAUGCUCAAAUUAAAGUUAGUAAUUAAUGGAGUUAUGUUAGUUUGUCAUAAGACAAUGUAGCACCAUGUUAAGCAAUCGCAAGUGGACUAAUGUAGUAGUCACACCUAUCUGAGGUCGGUCAAUAAAACUAUAGGUAAAUAAACACAAGUUAGGGAUCAUGACUAGUAAGCCAAGCUCCAAAAACUUGCCAUACCAAAACAAAAGGGGAAGGGCCUUGUAUGGACUUUAGGUUUUUUGCUUGACCAAGAAGCAACCUAUCUUGGACACAAAAUCACUCACUUGAUCUUGGAUCAAGUUGAGUUUAGUUUGGAUCAAAGAAGGUUAAACCUCUCAUUUGUCAAGACCAACCAUAAGACAUUAACUCAUUGGUCAAAUGAUGAAAAGAAUGGGAUGAAGAUGAAAGGGAGGGAAAGAGAAUUCAAGUAUCAAACUCCAUUGAUCAAAUGUGAACCAAGUCAUCAUCAAUCAAGGCCAAAUAGAAGAGAAAUGAAGAUUACAAAUCAACAAGUCAAGCAUAAUUUUUUGGUAUUUUUGAAUUAAAAAAAUAAAUGCAAAAUAAAAUAAACAAAAUAUGGUCAAACCUCAAAUUUAAUUCAAAUCAACUUUAGCAAGUCCAAUUAAAUUCUCAUAGGUCUAACAUGGUCAAACAAACUUUGACAAAUUUUCUCAAUAAUUUUAGAAAUCAGAAACUAUUUAAAAACAAUUAAAAAUAGUGAAAAAUAACAUAAUAUGAACUAAAAUCUCAAAUAAAUCUCAAAUUAAAUAAGAAAUUGAUGAGACUAUUUUUCAUUGACUUAUCAUGAUCCAUAGGUAUUAUGAAAAUAUUUUUGGAUUUUUUAAAUAUCAAAAAGUCUUUUAAAAUGACCUUAAAUAAAAGGAAUUAACUGAAAUUAAAAGAAAAUAGGAAUAAUAGAAAAAAUGCGCAGCCAUCAGAUCAAUUCAUUAAUUGACGUGGCAAGGGAUCAAGGGCUCAGAGGGGCUGAUGCAAGGUACACUCGAGUCAAGCGCACGACAUGCUGCAUUAAAAUAAGUAAACAUAAGGAAUGUCCAGGAUUAUAACGUGGAAGCAUGAUCCAAUGGUUCUGAAGAUACAAACGUAGUGCAGGCGGUGGAAAACACCUUCUUCUCCGGUGAUCCAACAAUCUCCGGCCACCAUGCGCAGGAAUUUUUUUUAUAAUGAAAAUGAAAUGUAAGGACAUCAAAAUGAAGCUCAGGUGAUGUACAUCACCACUGUAACCAUGGAUCAUCCUCACUCUUCCUAUUUAGAGACAAAUGUGAGAUGGAAGAUCAUGGUAUGUCAACUAGAAUGACACGAUUUGCACAAUUAAGACCACCACUGGCCUGCCUCAAGUGAGAGGACUUCAGAAAACCUCAUAAACCAAAGAAAAUCACACUGAAUUGCAAGAUCUAGAUAAAAAAAGUUUGAGGUUCUACCUCUGAAAUGAAGCUUCAAAUGCCACGAAUUCUUCAAGAUCUUGGUCUGCUUUUGCUCUGGAAGUGUGAUGGUGAUGAUAGGUUAAGGAAUUGAGCUUUGAAAAUAAACUAAUGAUGUUGAAUUUCAAGCUUGAAAGAGAAAAAGAAAUUUGAAAAUUCCUUUAGUGAGGGUUGGGAUUUCAAUUCAACAGCAAUUCAGGUCUCCACUUGGUUCAAAAAUGAAUGGAAUUGAGCUCUUAUUUAUAGCUGAAAUGUGGCUGAGAUCAUGCUUCCCUCGUGUGCAUGGGAUUUGAAUCUUCCUUGCAUGGGCCUGUACAGGCGCAUGUAAGGCCCAAAAUGAGUGGAACUCCUUGCUGAUACCUCAAGGAAUGGAUUUAGACGUGCAUAAUGAAUCACACAAGCUUGCACAUCAAGUUAUAACAUGUAAUGCAAAAAUGGGCAUAAAGAAUGAACUCUUCGAAACUCACACAUGGAAAGUCCAAAAAAGUAAUGUGAGUAAUGGUUGGAAAUCCCUUGAAAUAAGGAACAAAAGUCAUGUUAGGAAAAAAUUCAUUUGGAGUUUGGAACUUAAUGAAAACUGGCUGUGAAAGUUUGGGUACAAAACAUGUCUAAGUCACCUUUGAAUUUUUUUUACCAAAAGCAAGCCUCUUCAAGCCCUUCUGUUUCAAUGAUGCAAGCUUCAAAUGAAAACACUUCCAAAAUCAUAGUUGUAUAUCUUUUCAAUAUGAUCAAUUUAGACCCAAUUUUGCAUCAUUUGGAUUUUUCAUGAGAAAGUUAUGGGCAUUUGAAGUUGGCAUUUUUCAAAUUCAAUGACUUAGGUCCAAAGUGACCUAUAAUGUUUUGUAUUAUCAAAUGUAUUUCCUUUAGGAUUAUGAAAUUUUGUCCAACAUAACAUUUUAAUAAGACAUCUUAAUCUUUACAAUGCAUUUGGUAUCACCUCAAAAUCAUAAAAAUUAAGGAAGUUAGGUCCUUGGGAAGUUGACCCAAAAUUAGGGUUUCAGUCAAAAUGACCUAUAAUGUUUUGAAGUGAAUGAUGACCUUCCAAGUUUCAAAUGAAUUUGUGAUGAACAUGAAAGUUGUUCAUAUAGUUCUUAAGAACAUUUAUUCUCAUGGGGUCAUCUUCAUUUGACAAACACAUCACAAGUUAUAUUUCAAUGGUGCUAAGCUUAGUCAGAUGACUUGACUGGUCAACUUUUCAAGGCCAAACUUCCAAUCUUGAUGAAUGAAUGAUUGAGGAUCCUCAAAUAGGCUCAUAUGUUCAUAAAAUGAUGAAUUAAAGAACUUAUCUUAGUUAAAUUUGAUCAUGGGUUGAGGUUGCUUCAUGAGCAAGGCACAAUCAAAGCACAAUUGAAUUAGGGUUUCCUUGAGAAACAAACCUCAAGCCCUUUGGGUUAUCUUGAUCAAAUUGGCAAAUUGAGAUACUUGGGAGACACUGUAGCACCUCAAAUUUGCACCUAUCAUUGUACAUACCAUUUCAUAUUAGGUCAUAGCAUAUCAUGGUCCAUUGCAUAGCAUUGCAUUGUCCCCAGUUGCCUCAAGAGCAAGCAAGCAAGAAAUUAGAUCAAACUGAUCAGGAGAUCAGUCCACCAAGCAAGCAAGGGUGUUUCUCAAGGAGCCAAGGCCCUAGGGUUUGUCCAACAAGUUCACAUAACUUGGAGGUCCAUUUGAAGUGUUUAAGUCAAGGGUUGGAUGUUCAGAAGUCAUCAGUUCAUGCACAAUCAGUCAAAAAACCCUAGAAAGUCAAAGUUGGUCAACUGUGGUUGAUUUUAUGGUUUUGAUGGAUGGAAAUGGUUUGAGAGGGCUUAUUCAUGUCCCAAUAGGCCUCAUAUAUCAUGGCAAUCAACAUCAUUGAAGAAUUUGAAGCCAAACAGAAAAUUUCCAAAAAUAGAAACUGGACCUGUAAUUUUAACUGCCAAAAAUGGAAACUCUUGAUCCCAAACUUACAUCAUGAUACAAGCUUCAAAUGAAUUUUGCCCAACAUGAAAGUUUGAGAUCUUGUUCUCCAUUUCCAAAAAAGUCCAAGAACUCUCAAUUCCCAUGCAUGGUUGUCAAGAUAGAUCAAAUCAUUUUCACAAAAAAUCUUGAACUUCAAAGGCCAUAUCUCUCAAACCAUUUGGCAAUUUUGGUGGGUUUUUUCCUACAAACCACGAUUUCAUCUCCUCUUUCAAAAUGUAAAUUUCAUGUGCUAAAACAUUGCCAAUCAAAAUGGCAUUUUUUGACUUGUCUUAUUUAAAUUCAAGUGUGGACCAAAGUUGACUUUUUGAUUUAGCAAUUUUUAACACAUUUGGCCAUUUAGGAAUUGUUUGGAAGGUUAUUUGAGACUUGUUUGAGGCCCAAACUCGGCCAGACUUCACACCUCCAUGUGCACAUGUUCAAAAUUAGCAAAAUGCAAAUUGGCUUCAUUUAAGUUAACUUUGAUUAGUACCUUCAUUACCAAUGUUAAACAGCAAAUAUAUAGUGAAUUGUCUGUCAUUCUAAACCCUAGCUGCAGCCUGAUAUUACACAAAAAACUCUCAUUCUCUCUGAAUUUGCAUUUUCACGAUUUGCAAUUUCUGAGUAAAACCUUCAAAGAACCACGAGCAACCUUGUUUGUUUCAUCAUCUGGAUAGCAUUUGGAAGCUUUCUCAAGCAUCAAAUCCCAACUGUGCAGUACUUUCGAGCUCUGUUUUCUUCAAAGCACAACAAUGGUGAAACUUGAUUUGGACAUUUCCAGGCCUUGCUGAGCUAGAUUACUUCAAGCAUCCAUCAUUCUAAAGCAUAAGGAAGAUCUGUUUCAAGGCAAAAUAUCCAAAGAACCACUGUUUCUCCAUUUGCUUCAAAUCCAAGUAAGAUUUCGACCCUCUCUAUUUCCAAAAUCAUGAGAUGUUUUUGGUAGGUCUUUUGAUGCUGAGUCCAUUGCAACUUGUCUCACUCAAAAUGGUUGUGUCAUUCAUGAGAAAUCUGGAUUUUCAUUUUUGUGCUUAGAUAUGUUUUUAGUCGAUUUGCCUUGAUGAUGAUGAUUUCAUGAAAACCAUGUUUGGAUUAUGACUGUGCUUGCUUCAUUGGUUCGAUUGGUAUGCAUAUCCAUGAUUUCUGGGUGAAUUGAUUUUGCAUGUUAAGUGUUGAAGAUGAAGCUUACAGUAGCAAAACCCUAGGAUUUGCCCAGAAAAUUCACAUGAAACAUGUUUGUUUGUUGCUGUUUAAUGUUGCAUGAAUGUCUUUGUUCCAUUACCAUGAUGUUUGUGAGAAUCUGGGUGAAUUCGUGUUUUUAUGAUGAUGAGCAUGAAGAUGAAGUUGCCCUGUUGUGUACAAACCCUAAACCUGCCCAGAACAUGAAUCGUAUUGGCUGUUGUUUGUUUGCAUUGCAUGGCAUGACACUGUUUGAUUGAUGCUAGCCAAUCAGAAUAUUUGGUUCUUACUCCCUAAACGAUGCGUUUGGUUUAAUGAGGUUGUUAAUUACCAUUGUGCCACUCGGUCAACAUGUUGACUUACCAUUCCAUGUUAUCUUGUUCAUUUUAUUCCAUUUGAUUCAUCAUCUUACAAAAUUCACAAUUCACUCAUUUCACAUCCAAAAAUCAUGAAAUUUUUUGCAUCAUGUUCAUGAGAAUGUCUAACUUUUUAUCAUGAUUUUUAAUAAUUUUUUGGUUGGCUGGAUUUUUAUCGGUAUUAGGGUUCUUAACAUGUAUGCACAUUUUGUACCUUUUGCCAAUUCUUUUGUGAAAUGAUGAGGAUGUAUUCAAUGAUUCUGAAAUUUUUUGUGGUUAAUCUACACUCAUUCAUGUUUGUUUUGAUGUAGAGUUCUUGAAUUUAUCAUAUGUGGUUUGUGAGAUAUGAAUUUUUGAAGUAGGGUGUGACAACUUGUGUCACACCAAUGAUAUGCAAGUUCAUGAUUUUUGUUGACAUGCUUCCUGGCCUUCAAUUAAUGUGAAAUUUUGCAUGAACCUUCUCUCAUAUGUCUAGUUUGUGUGUGAAUUUUCUUGGAUUUAAUUAAGCCAUUUCCUAUUUGUUUGAGAUUUUCUUCCCUGCCUAGUCAAAUGUUGACUUUGUGUGACACAUCUUGCCAUUUCAUUUGGGAAAUUCUCAUGCCUUAUUGUAUGAUCAUGAAAUUUUACAUGUGCAUACUAGACAUCUUGAGCUUUGCAUUGGUGUUGAUCCCAUUCAUUUCUCAUCUGUUUGCAUUUAGUUAGGAUUUUUUGAAGUUGACCCAUGUUUGUUUGACUUCUUUGUGCAUGCUUGAAAUUGUGUUGACUUCUUGAUUUUAAUUGACCAUCUUCCCAUGAUCCAAUUGAGCUGAAAUUUCAUAUACAUGCUAUAUUAUGGAUUGUGAUUGAGCAUGAAUUAUUUGAUAAUUUUUGGGAUUUAUUAUGUUUGGUUUUGAGCUAAAUCUUGCUGUUGAUUUCUAUAUGCUUUCAUUUGCCAUGCCUUGCCUUCUUUUGUUUGUGAAAUGAUGAUGGUGCAUGAUAUGAACUUGAGACCAAUUGUGCUUGCUUCUUAAAUGUUUGAACUUGAUUUUGGUUGACUUUCAUUUGCUUUUUUGACUUUCUCAUUUGUUUUUGACCCUAGGCUUGUCCUAGUGGUCUUUUGGGCUUACGAUUGAGUUCAUGUUUCAGGUUAAGCAACAAUGCCUCAAAGAUCAUACAAAUUUGAUUGAGCUUGAUUAUAUACCAUGUGCUAACCUUUGUUUUGUAGGUGGCUUGACCCAUUUGAUUUGGGUCUUGUGCUUGGCACAGUUAAUUAUCUGUUUUGACUGUUGUUUCCCAAUUCCUUUUGUUUUGUUUGUGAACUGUGUACUGAUUGGUUUGGACUAUUGCAGGUACCCUUAGUUGCUUAAGUUCUUUGAACUUGCUUUUCUUUGCUAUUUAGCAACUUGCUUGAGGUAUAAUUUCUUUUUCUUCAUGUAGUCUGGAAGACCUGGCCUGUUACUUGGCCAGGCAACUGUCUGAAGUCCUCCUUAAGAGGCAAUGUUUGUGUAUGUUUAAAUUGUCCUUGUAACAGAGUCAAAGACCUCCUAAGUGAAGAGCCCAAUUUUGCAGAACCAAGGGAUAGCAACCUAUCCCCCCCUGCUAUUCAGUGUGUCUUCUGUUUGCUCACACCACUGUGUUGAUGCAUUACAGAUAAAACCAAGAUCUUUGCAAUUGCCACAGUUGAGUCAGUAUUCAAAUGGUGUAGAAGUGCGGUUCCCCCUUUCUGAACCCACACAUUCUUGUACAAAUGCUCUCCUAGGCCAGGGAUAGAAGCAAUGAGGCACACCCCUUCAUUCUCCUUUCAUCUGCUUACACCUUAGCCCCUCAAGUGGCAAGGUUAGAAGCAACACUCACCCCAUUCCAAGGUUUGUUUGUUGAGGUUGAUGUGACCCUCGACUAAAACCUAACCCAUGUUUGAGCCCCCCUUGUUGGUGUGUUUACUUAUGCUGAAUGUGUUUGUGUGUGCUUAUGUUGGUGUGAUCAUAUCCCCUAGGUUUGUUAGACUCCGCGUAGUCUCGUUUGCAUGUCAAUUAAGGUAGCACGGUUCCUUCGUAUAGGACUUCCUUUCUUGCUUGAGCUUUCUUAAAACACAAACAAACAUCAUCCCUCUUAAGGAUACGUUACUCCUUCUACUACAGAUGAGUAAGUCUCCAAGGUCGAGCAUCAGGUAGAUUGUGCAGUGACGUUGUCCACUUAAAAACACAACCAACAGUAAUAGUUUUGCCGAACUACGACAACUCUGAUUCUCACGUCAGGUGAGAUACGUAGGCACGAGAUGCGAUGUCUUGUCGAGUUUGACUAACCACUAACACUAAUUCUUUCUCUCACCCCUGUUGUGAUCGAGAUAUCCCUUUCUCUUGCCCUAGUUGCAAUUGAGACCUUUCUUUUGUCUGUUAGCUAGAAACCUUAACUUAGGGUUGAUUUUGCAUGACAACAUCUAGGCUCGAGUCGAGUCUCCCUAGAGUUGUGUCUCCCUCUGUAUCUGGUUAGGCUAGAUCCUUGUCCCUGCGUAGGGGAACUACAUCGCCCUGAUCUUCAUACCAGAUGAAGUAUGUAGGCAGAGAUUGAGUUGAUCUCUCCGGCGCCUUUUCUUUUCUUUUGUGUUGCUUGACAGUUAUAGGCUCGAGUCCCCGACUCCCUAUUAACCUGUUGUGUUGUUGUGUGCUUGGAAGCCGAUGUAAGUCCAUCGAGUGGCAUUUGGUUCCAGUGUGCGUGUGUUUAGGUCGGAUGCUGAUGUAAGUCCAGUGAUUGGCAUUCGGGCUCCACGUUUGCCUGUGUCUUGUUUGUUUGUGUGCGUGUCAGCCGAGCUACGAAUGCUCGUGAUUUCUUCUCUCGUCCGAGAAGAUACGUAUGCAUAGGAUGCGACAUCCUAGCGAGCAUGUGUUGUCUCCCCAGUCCGAACUACUUCGACUCUGAUGUCUAUGCCUGAUAGACUAAGUAGGCCCAGGAUACGAUGUCCUGCCGAGUCAGUUUCAGUCAGUUCCUUGUGUCUCUUUCAGCCAGUGUGUGUGAGUGUGAGCAGUGUUAUAGCAACCAUAUUCCUUCCUAGUGUGCAUAGAUCCCGUAGGGUACUACGGAUGCGUAGGGGUGCUAAUACCUUCCCUUCGCAUAACCGACUCCCGAACCCAUUCUCUUUGGUCGCGAGACCAUGUUCUUUUCUUAGGUUUACUUCGAGCGUUUCCUUUCCCUCUUUUGGGAUAAAUAACGCACGGUGGCGGCUCUGUUGUUCUUGUUUCCCGCCGGUUUUUUCGCGUAAUGCGACAGACACAUAUGAUGAUUAGGAACUUUGUGGACCAUUGUCAUUCUUUUCCUCAUCUUCAACUAGCCACUUCAUUGAGCUGAGGAGCCUUCUAGGAGCAUUGGAGUGUAUGAUCACUUGAGCUUCAAAACAAAAAGAGUUAGUGACAUAUUUUUGUGCUUUUGGUUAGUAAUCAAAAUAAGAAAAGAAAUAAUAUAUAAUACAAGCAUGCUUGGUGGUUUCAAACCAGUCACACAAGUCCCAACCCUAGGGUUAAGGAGCCAAACAUGCUAUGAUCCUUGAGGCAAUGCACUGAGCAAUGAUAUGAAGCCAUGAGGGAUCUUAGGGUCAAAAUUAGGGUCUUACAGAUGCCCCUAUUUAAGGUCAUUCUAUCCGGAGAUAUGAAGGUUAAAAUCUUCGUCUCGACGAGGUAGAAUGGGCUUAAAUAAUAACAAAAUGAGGGAUCUUAGGGUCAAAAUUAGGGUCUUACAGAUGCCCCUAUUUAAGGUCAUUCUAUCCGGAGAUAUGAAGGUUAAAAUCUUCGUCUCGACGAGGUAGAAUGGGCUUAAAUAAUAACAAAGAGAUGAAUUUUGGUCCCUAAGAGACCUCAUGAUGAAAAUGUAUAUAUGCAAAAUAGAAUCUUCAUGGUGAAUAGUUGCCAUAAAGGAAAAGAAAUCAGAAGGAACUGAAAAAUCAACAAGAGUAACGCACUCACUAGGGAGAUAGAGACUCUGGGGAAAAGUACAAAUGCGUGAGCAGGCCACGACUUGAAAACUUGUUGGGAGACACGAAGGAAUUCCACAAAAAUGAAUCAAUGGAAAGACUCGAGCUGACGCAAAGAUUCAUGUAUUGGGGAAUAUGCCAAUACAGCGAAACUAUCCAUAAAGGAUACAUCGGAUAAAAUCUGGACUCAGUCGAGGAUAUCCACAAAGGACUCAACUGAGGAGGAAACAACGAGAUAUUACCAGUUACUGGGUAAUAAACUCAAAGGGAGACAUAUUGUCAAAACACCGGUUAAUGGGUGGGAGAACAACAUGCUCAUGGAGAAACAAUAUCUAAGACCGGUAUAAGGGUGAGAGAUAUCCAUCAUCCGAAACAUCUGAGGAGGACCCAAAAGGCGCAUCUCAACUCAGGAUAAUCUGACUCCACAGGGGACAAAUGUCAUAAUAGGGAGCAGAAGGAAGGAACACCAGGAUUACCGGUUACUAGGCAUAUAAUAGGUGACCAACCAGGCGUGAAUUGGGAACAUAUCCAAGACACUCAUCAUCCGAAAGGAGGGCUAAAAAUCUUAACUUGACUUAGAGGAUGGACAUUCGAUUCCAUAAGGAAAUACGAAUCUUACUCGACUGGGGAAGAACAAAGACUUCAAUUGAAGAGCGCAUGAGAUAUAUUAUCUAUUUUCGUCAUAACAUAGAUAACAUACUCGCAUGGAAGAUUAUCCACAACCGGUUACUAGGUUAAUAAAGGAUAAAUCGACCGAAAAGUAAGUACAUCGGGAUACCGAUUACUGGGUAUAAAAUGAUGACCAAUCAGAAGGAGAAACAAUCAUUACCAAACAAGGGUAAAUGAAGGAUGACUCGCCAGGGAUAAAUUUCAUGACAAAAGCAAUUAUCCAAAAGAUAUAUCACCAGUUACUGGGUGGUAUACUCGAAAAUGAAGGAAUAUCAAUACCGGUUACUGGGCAAAGAUAACCAAUAAAAAGAAGAUUACAUCUACCAGAUACUGGGUAGAAAACCACAGAAAUAGGACUUACAACUAUCGGUUACUGGGUAGAAGGCCACAAAGUCCGCUGGGGAAAAGGCUGAACAAUUACUGGUUACUGAGCAAUUGAACAAAUAAUCCAUAGGAGACUGCAGGGGAUAAUAAGAAAGGAGUCAAUCUAGGAAUAAACUAGAAAGACACAAUUAACCAAGACUCAAACCGAUGAGGGUAUAACUCAGGGGAGUAAUUCCAUCCCAAUACAUAAUUGGGGCAGAAACUGAAACAAUAAUCAUCCACGAGGACAUAACUCAGUGGGGAAGAAAGAAGAAACGAUAGACACUUUCUACCUAUGGGGCUGACUCUAUAUGGAGUGAUCAGACACAAACAUCUGCUUGGGGAAAAACAUUUCACCAAUAGCAGCGGAUAACAAGCAAAUAUAUAUGGCAAAGAAAUUGAAUCAUGAAUAUCUGAAUGAUAUGAUUAUGCAUGUAUAUGCAUGAUUUGUGUAUGAUUAAUGCUGACAAAUAGACAUAUCUAACACAAACAGGUUCAAGAGUCAUGAACGGACACCCAACACAACAACUCAACAAAAAGGGCAAAACCU
rnacentral:lncRNA from 1 species